AAAAAAAAAAAAAAAAAAACUACUACAACAAUCAGAUCAUUACAGAACUACAAUUGUUUGAACACGUAAAUAUAUUGCAAGAGAAAGUUGAUAUUUAAUCAGAACUCCCAAAUAUUUGGCACUUGCAACUCCUGUGCAUUGCCAAACAUAGAGAGAGAAAAGAGUAUUAAAAAGAAAAAAAAAAAAAAAAAGAAGAAAGAGUUCCCCAGCAUUGCAUAUAUGUAAAUUUUGCUAACUCCUCUAGAGGGUGCUCUGAACUUCGAUGUGAUUUAAUAAGCUUGUUAAACUAGGUACAUAGUUGCCACUAUGGUAUGUAUCAUGUAUGUAAAAAAUGAUAUUAUAAUUCUCACUCGACAGAAAACGACAUAACUAAAUGAAAUUACUUAAGACUUAUGGAGCAGAUUAUCAUCAGUUUAUUUAUCUUACAGCAUACUACAGGUAAGUUCAUCCAGAUAAUGAAAAAUCAAGUAAUUGCUUUUUUUUACAUUGUAACAGAGCAUGAGAGACCUGUCUUGGGUAAAGCCUCUUAUUCUUCAGUCAACUGGUACUUCAACCUCCAUCUUUAAUCCAGGGCUGCUCAGAACCUGGAAGUAAACAUGCCAUUAGUAUGAGAAGAGGAUAAUUAGCACUUAAGGUAAAAAAGGGGGCCAAAAAAAAAUUGUCAAAUAGUCUCCAAGCAGGACACACACUGUAUUUACUUAAGAUUUGGGAAUCAUUAGCUUGUCUUUGUUAAAAUGAAGUGUUUUAUUUGUUUUUUUUUAAUUCUUUGAAAAGAGGUGCUGAGAAGAUCAAAUGAGAGCAGCAUGUUCAUUCAGGUGCAUUUCGGUGUUUUGCUACAUCAAUAAUGGUUUGACUUGCUACAUCAAUAAUGGUUUGACUCAACAUCAGCUCUAAUACGUCAGAAUUAUUCCGAUUGCACUUCAGAUCUGCUGAGGAUGCUGUCGAGAGUCCCUUGCACAGUACUCUCCAAGCAGAGUCGUAUUAAAUCGCCUUAUUUGGAUGAAAUAUUGGUUAGUUUCAUAAUAGUAAAAUUGAUCAAGAUCUAAGUUGUUGGAUUUUGGAAACAAGACCCAUAACGAACUCUAAAGAGAAGCAAUCUGAACGACACCUAAGAAUUGAAUAUAUGGCAGAAAGUGGACAUAAGUAAAUAAUCAUACAAAUCAAGCAAUAACCUACUUAUUCACAACACUAAAGUAAAUUUUAACCUAUACUAUCGUCAAUACGUUAUAAAGUGUUAUAUCUUCGCACAAAAACUGUAAAACAACCAAAAUGGAAUGCACGUGCAAUGAUCUAAGAAAAAUCAUAAUAAAAGCUUGACAAUACAUAAAAGAUCAUAUUUCCAGAAAACUUUCUCAGUAAAUCUUGUAUAUCUUCUUAUAAACUUGCAUAACAAGGAUGGCUAAAAAUGUACCUUCACAAAAUCAUCCAACAAAAUAGAGGAAUUUCUUGUGUAGCCAGCUUCUUCCAAUACCCAGACCAAGACAUGCUGAACAGCAUUGUAGAAAGUACACAAUUAGGAAGCAUGAGCAAACAUUUCAAACAAUAUAGUUUUGCCAACUCCUACAUUGUAUCCUUUGCAAUUAGCCACGUGAGGGACUAUUGCCCAACUUAAGAAAAGGCCCAAACCUUUAAUCCACAUAGGCAACUUACAAGCUAAUGACCAUCACUAGCACAUUCCAUUGUAAUCAAGCUUUUAGUGUACAAAUGUGAAGCAGGAAUUAACUUUAAAAAGAUUGAGAGGAUCUAGUGGACAAUGACUAAUGAGAAACACCCUUUGCAAUGUUUAAUAUGGAUUUACUUUAUGUAAACAAACUAAUCAAAAAAUUCAGGUUAUAAAAAUGUGCAAUAAGUAAAAAUUUCUUUUAUAUUUCAAAAGAACAAAGAAAGACGACGAAACAUAUACUGAACAAUCUAUUCUGAACAACAUUUUCUUCACUUAAUGCCCGGUUUUCUUAGUAAAGCAGGGUUUUCAGUAAGUAAAAUUUCUUUAAUUCUUUUAUAUUUCAAAAGAACAAAUGAGAGAAGUCGAAACAUAUACUGAACAAUCUCUUCUGAACUUUAUUUUCUUCACUUAAUGCCCUGUUUUCUUAGCAAUGCCCUGUUUUCACUCGAAACAUAUACUGAACAAUCUCUUCUGAGCUUGAUUUUCUUUUGUAUUUCAAAAGAACAAAUGAAAGAAGUUGAAAUAUAUACUGAACAAUCUCUUCUGAACUUUAUUUUCUUCGCAUAAUGCCCUGUUUUCUUUGUAAAGCAACUUCUUAUUACUCAUCUGGUUUUCGAAAAAUAAGAUGUUAAGUGUAAUCAGAAACAUAAAUUGUUGAUCAGAAUCCAACAAUCACAUUGGACUAUAAGAAAACAAGGUAAAAUCUUUGAAGAAAAAGAAGGGAUACCUCUCUCUGCUCCUCCGACAUGAACGACCCCGUCAAAUCACGAAGCACCUCCAACAAGUCCUUAAAAGUUACCUGCCCCUUUCCAUCUAUAUCAUAUACCUUAAAGAUCACUGCUUCACAAAUCAAACCAACAACAACAAAAGAAAAAAAAUUUAAUCCCUAAUCCCCCAAUUCACAAAAACUCAGCUAAAAACAACAUUUUGAUGCAAUAAUUGGCAACUGGGUCUCACGCUCAAUCUUAUGCUGGAGACUCGCUUUUGCACUAAACGCCGAGAGGAACGCGACGAAGUCCUUAAAGUUCAACCCGUCCACCAUCUUAAGCAACCUCUGAAACAAACAAUUCAAGCAGCUAGGGUUUCAUCGAUUGUUGCCAAGGAGACGAAAGGGUGCCCGGCGAUUCAGCAGCUAGGGUUUGAUCAUCGAUCGGUUACCUGGGAGAGGGGAUUGAGGGAGAACUCGGGGAUGGAGAGGAACUCGUCGGCGGAGAUGAAGCCCUUGGCGUUGCGAUCGAGUUGGCAGAAGCGCUCGUAGAGGGCGACGAUCUCCUGCUGGGAAACUGAGGAGGGGGAGGUGGAUUAGGGUGUGGCAACGAGGAGGAGGGGGGAGGGCGAAGGGGAAGUGAGUGGUGGGGGAGGCGCUCACAGAGGUAGUUGCAGUGCUCUUGGACCUCUUCGAUGUCGUACUGGGUGAGCGUGGACGAGGCGUUCCCCAUGGCCGCGCCCCCUCUAGCUUCGUCGAGGACGAGGACGAGGACGAAGACGAUAACGAAGAAGAAGAAGAAGAAAAGGCGAGGGAGUGGGGAUCGAGGUUGCGUUUUGGAGUUUAUAGUAAUUUGACUUGGGUGGACCAUGUGUACCACGUCAGAUGUAGCUUUCCAAUUAAACUCUAACAGGUGGAAAAAAAAAGAUAUAUCAUAGUUCUCUUCUCUUCAGAAUUAUUUGGUUUCUCUAACAAAAAUAAUAUAUAUAUAAAAUUUAAUUUUAAAAUAUUUUUAAUAAUCUAAAUCAUAUUUAUCGAUAUCAAUUGUUGGUACCAAAGCACCAAUAUUGAAAACAGAUUAAUAACUAUACAUUUGAUCUUCGUGAGUUAGCAUAUAUUCGACUACCUAAUAAAUAAGUCGACCACGAAAAAUUUUUAGACUACUGAGCCUAUAAAAGUUUUUAAAUGUAAAAAAUAGUUAUCUAAAAUUUUUAUUUAUGAAAAUAGUCCGAUAAAAAUAGUAAAAUUAUUUAUCUUUUUUAAAACUAAUAAAUUAUUUACCGUUUUUACGCUAAUUUAUACAUUUUGUACAUCCAAACUUCAAAAGAUAAAUAUAUAGUAUUAAUUAUUAAAAAUAAUUUUAAAUCUUUGUAAAAUAGGACGAAUAAUUUACCGCAUUUAAAAAAUAAUAAUUCAUUCCCCCAUCUAAUUUUGUAAAUAAAUUUUUUAUAAAACUAUUUUAUAAUUAUAAUAUUUUUUAUAACUAUUAAUAAAAAAAAAUGGGACCAAGAGCCAGUUUGUAUUUGGCUCCUUUAAUAUACUCUCCAGUUCGGGCUCGUUGAUAGGGGUCUCAUUACGGACUGUGUCCAUUAUAGAGAGUAAUUUAGGGAUGCCCCGAAUGAGCGCCGCGUGGCACCCAGACGCCCCGGAUGGGCGCCACGUAACACCCUGCCCCACGGGGGCACAUCGCCCCCGCUGCUUUGCCUUUUGGGAGAGCGGUGUGGUUUGUUUCGGUACACCCGGUGCACCAUUUUUUGCUUCAAAAUUUUAUUUUUUAUUUCAAUUAUAAUUUACUAUAAUAGAGAUAUAUUUUAGAUAUUUUAAACAUAUAUGUAAAAUAAUUUUAAAUACUAAACUCUAAUUUUUUUUUACAUAUAUAUUAUUGUAAAUGAUCAUAUAUAUAAUUAUAUAUAUAAUAUAUAUAAUAUAUUAGGUGAUAUAUAACUGAUCUUAAUAAUUAUAUAUAUAUAUAUCUGGAGGUGGAGUUCGGAGGUAGGAGGGUUUGUCUAGAAGGUCAACUUGCUCUACGCUGAUAGUAAACGGGAUCAUUUUUUACUAUGGAGUUGCUUUUCGAUGAUAGAGCUUCCAAAUUGGACCGAUCGGCUCCACUGAACUGAUGUAUACCACUUAAAGUGUUUAGAAAUCAAAUUUGAAAUCUGUUUGAAAUAUUUGCCUAAUGAUUCAAAGGGUUUCAAAUUUAUAAUUUUAAGGUGAUAAGAGACGUUUUCUCGAUUUAAGCGGUGUAAGAGAGUAUCCCGGAUAUCAUUGAUUUUUUGUUAGAAAAUUCUUUAAACUAUUUUAAAACAUAGAUCUAUUACUCUUGAUUUCUUGAUUACAAGAUCCUAUCAUUCAUUUUUUACAAGAAGUAUUCAUUUUCAACCAUUCAUUUUCUGUUCACAUAGAUAGAUAAAAGAACAAUACGGAAAGUGCGUCUGAAAUUGUCAUGUUGCUAGGUAUGUUGUAAUAUGGUUUGUAGACAUAUUUAACGGAGCGGAUCGUCAAUUUGCGAAGCUUUAUCAUCGAAAACAAUCCGAUAGUAAAAUGCUCGUUACUAUCGAGAGUAUCUCUAGUCAAUAUAUUAGUUGAUAGUUAAUACACUGAUAGAAUGUAGUAAUAUUAUAAUAUAAUUAAAGUUUAUAUUAAAAAAUAAAGAUUUUAAAGCAAAAAGUAGUGCGACAGUUGUGCCACUCAAAAAACAAUGCGAGUGCUGCUCUCGAGUUGGAUGGCCACACGGCUCGACGGUAUAUCUGUGCGCGUCCCGCAGUCGCCAAAUCUUAUUAUUUAUUACUAUUAUAAAGUCCACGAACAAAUUACUAUCUACUAAGUCGGCGAACAAAUAGUUACUACACUGCCAUAUGUGGCCCUUGGCUGCCUUCGGUGAAACCUGGUCGCUCAUAAACCACACAUCAUUUUAAAUCCAAGGGUUAGCAAAACUUAUAUAGCACAAAGUUCAGUUGGUCUAUUAAUAGUAAUUUCAACUGUGUAUAUAUUAUAUAUAUAUAUAUAUAUAUAUAUAUAGAGUCCGGCUUACUGAGUGAUACUACUCGCAUACUAUCAAGUUUCUGGUACGUUAUUGAGGUUUUCCUAUCGUUAGUAUAACGGUUGGAUUAUUGUUCGCACCAGUUAAAAUUAUACGAUUAAACUGAAUCUUACCGCACUUCAAUCCUGUAUGGGGGACCACUAUCAAUUUAAUCGGGGAGGCCAAUUCUGAUCAUCCUAAUCGUACAUGCUUCUUUCUUGCAUACGGCGAAAACUCAAUAGCUAGCAGGGCGUGUUGGUACCUAUUGAUGUAUGUAGAUCAAUAUAGUAUUGAUAGGUAUUAUUAUGUUAUAUUAUAUAUAUAAUAUACGAGGGCAUAUUACUAUGAGGGCGUAUAUAGCUAGGCUCCUAUGCUUUCGAAAGUACGGGAGGCCCCGUGCUUGUAAGUUGUUUUCGAUGAUGGGACAUCCGAUUCGGUGAUCGGUUCCGUUAAACUUGAUCUACGCUAUUGGAACUAUCUAGAAACCAAAUUUCAUAAUUUUUUGAUUUCGUUUGUCUAGUGAACGAGUAGCCUUAAAAUAAACGGCUGAAAAUGAAAAUCUCAUAAAAAACAGUGAUAAAGGAUUCAAAUUUUAAAUCGAAAGUAUUGAUCUUACUACUGAUGUUAAGUAGAAUUUUCUAUUAAAUUUUCAUGUAAUUUGGAUGCUUCUACACCGUUGAACUUAAAAAUGUGCCACAUCGACCGUUAAAAUAGUCAUUUUUUAGACCUUUUGAUCGCUUAGUAAAUGAUGUCAAAAAAAUCUAAAAUUUGGUUUCUAGAUAGUUCCAAUAGGGUAGAUCAUACCUAACGGAGCCGAUCGUCGAAUCGAACGUCCUAUCAUUGAAAACAACUUACAAGCACGGGGCCUCCCGUACUUUCAAAAGUAUAAGAGACGGACUCUAUAUAUAUAUAUAGUGUUUGACUAUUAUACUCUUAUGAAUAUAGAGCCUCUUAUAUUCAUAAGUUUUUGACCGUUUGAUUUAUCCUUUAAUCAUUUUCACCCAUUAGAUUAUACUAUUCAACCAACCAUUCACUCAACCUUAGGGGGCUCACUAUCAACCUACCCGUAAUCAUCCUAACCGUACAUUUUUUCAUCCGAACGGUCAAAAAGUUAUGAGUACAAAGAUCUCUAUACUCAUAAUAUAGUAGCCGAACUCUCUCUCUCUAUAUAUAUAUAUAUAUUUAUAUAUAGGGUUUGAAAAUUUUAUAUUAUAAAAUUUUAAAUUUUGGAUACUAAAAUUUUAAAUUCUAAAUUUGAAAUUUUAUAAUUUUAUAAUUUAUAAUAUUUAUUCCCAUUUUUUUUAAUUUUAAAUAUUUAAAUUUUAAAUACUUUUGUACUUUCUCUCUUACCUAAUUUUAUUAAAUUUAAUGUUUAUAUUUUUUCUCUUUCUUUUUCUCUCUCACUGAGAAAUGUGCGUACCGUUUUUCUCUUUUUUUUAAGUUUAAUUUUUAAUUUAACGCUCUCUUUUUUCUUUCUCCAAACAAAAUAUAUGAAUAUUUAAAAUAAUUUUAAACUUGAAUUUAAUAAUUAUAUAUUUUUAAAAACCUCUAAUUUUUAUUUUUUUACAGUAUAAGUAAAAUAUACUAUAUUUUGAAGUACUCUCUCUUUGACUUUAAUUUUUUUUGAAAGUUUGAAAAUACUCUCCCUAACUAUAAUUUUUAUUUAACAUUUUCUUUUUUUCUUCAAAUAAGAGAUAUAUAUGAAAAGUAAUAUUUUUAUUUGACUCUAUUAACUAUUAAGUGACUGUAUUCAACGUAUAAUAUAAUUAUUGUAAACUUAAAAAUCGCACCCGCUUCAAAGCAUGGAUACAUUACUAGUUGCUAGGGGUGGUAAUUCAGCUCCGGGGUUCGCGAGCCAGCUCGUUUUCGGCUCGAAAUGAGCGUCGAGAUGCGGCUCUCUUGUUUAGUAAACGAGCCGAACACGAGUUAAUUUUUCAGCUCGUUUAAUAAACGGCCGAACAUGAGCUGGGGUUAGCUGGUCAUGUUCGGCUCGAUAACAGCUCGAAUACAUAUAUUUAUAUUUAUAUAAUUUAUUUAAUUUAUUUUUUUAUAAUAUAAAUAAAUAAUUAUAUAUUAAUAUAUUUUUAUUAUUUAAAUUUUAGCAAAAAAUAUAAAAUGCGAGCUUAAUUAUAAAAUAUGAUUUAUAUGUAAAGUUUCAACUAUUAGAUAAAACUCUAAUAGUUAAGUUUUAUAAAUUUAUUUUUAUUAUAUAUUUAAUCCAAUCUUUUUUAAUUUAUUGUUCGUUGGCCAGCUCGUGAGCCAGCUCGUAUUCGGUUCGUUAAUAAACGAGCCGAACACGAGCUGAAUUUUUCGGCUCUAUACUUUAGCGAGCCAGCUCGUGUUAAAAUGAGCCGAACAGGAGCCGACCCCAGGUCGCUCGUGUUCGGCUCGUUUACACCCCUACUGGUUGCUUUCUAUUAACACAGUAUCCACAAAAUUUUUGCCACUCAUUAAGCCUUUCGCAAAUUUAUAUGUUUACGGGGGUAUUUAUGCAAAAACGCCAUCCCCAGGGGAUAUGUAUAUGUAUUUAUCUGCCUUUUGAGAUGUGCAUCACACAAGUCAAUAGCGUUGACCAGAAAUGGGUGAGGAGACGGGGCGGAAACAUGCGGUGGUGCAGCAGCUGGCGGCGGACGGCCGUGAUCCGCCGAGCCGGUACGUGGCGAGGGAGGAGGACCGUCCGAUCGGCGAUUCGUCGUCCCCGGCCCCGCCGCGUUCCGGUGUGCCCGUCGUGGAUCUCCGCCGCGUGUCCGGAUCCGACGGCGGGGACGAGGCCGACAAGCUCCGAGCCGCGCUCCGGUCCUGGGGAUUGUUUCUGGUACAGCUCAUUAUGACUAUUUCUGAACUGUUGUAACGAUCCGACCCGCUAAGAAUAAUAACUGGUUAAGUCCAAAACAUCGGUUCAAAAUGCUUAAGUACAGUUAUUAUUGCUAGCGGAUUGUGACGAUCCAACCCGUCAGUAAUAAUAACUCAUUCGACCGAAACUACCGUCCCAAAAUACUUAAUUUUAGUUAUUAUUAGUAACACAUAGGCCUCAUAUAUUCUAAUGAGAUCAGUCCAAACCGGAUCACAAAUACAGACCAGAAUUAUCAGAUGAUGUGAGAUUCGGUUCAAGAGAUGUUGGUGUAGCACUUUAUCCCGCAUAAUACUUUAGCUCUUAUACUUUCGGCUAGUAUUUGACUCUGAUACCAAUUGUAACGACCUGACCCGCUAAUAAUAAUAACUGAAUUUAAGCAUUUUGGGCCGGUGGUUUGGACCAACGAGUUAUUAUUGUUAGUGGGUGGAGUCGUUACAAAUAUUAAGUGGUAACUUUUGGCCCCGCACCACUGUCCAAAAUGUUUAACUCUAGUUAUUGAUACUUAGGGAGUGAAAAUGGAUCGGACAUUACUCGAUCCAACCUGAAUCCGAAUCAAAAAAAUUAUCGGAUAUGGAAUUGAAUUUGGAUCCGGAGUCAGUUUCACUACUUUUCUUCGGAUUAUCUGAAUUUGAAAACUGAUUUUCCUAAAUUUCAAUAUAUUUUUUAAAAAGUUUUAGUUUUUUAAACUUCUUAAAAGUUUUUUUUGAUAGAUUUAGAAACCUUAAAUAUAUAUUUGUAAAUCUUUUUUCAUUUUUAGUUCUAUAUAUACUUAUUAAACAUUUAUGGUCAUAUCUGGAUCCGAUUGAUGUUUGUAUCUGUUUGAUAUCCGACCCGUAAGGUCGUAUCGAAAUCCAAUUUUGUAUGGCCGAAUCUGAAUCAGAUUUAUGUCCGUAUUUGUUUAAUAUCCGACCGGUAUGGCUUUAUCUGAGUCCAUUUUUAUGAGAAAUAUCCUAAUCUGAAUCGAGAUAGGAUAUAAAACAAUGAAUAUAGAUUAGGCACUAUCCAAUACAUACACGAUUUCCUUUUAUCCGUACUAGCACUAGAGUGCUAGUCUCUUGCGCUCUUUCAUAUUAUCUGAUGUGGGACUAUUAAGUGUUACAUUACUUUUCCUGUUCGUAUAUGUGGUUAAGGUAAAAACAUUAUAUAGAUUUUGUAUAUAUGAACUAUAGUAUAAUUUUAACGGGAUCGACGGCUGAAAUUUAAUCCAUUAGGUGGGGGAUCGGAUCCGCGACCUCACUUGGAAGUCGGGAGCUUAGGUUUGAUUCUGAUGCCAUGUUACGCAAAAAGAUCAAUCUAAUACAAAACGACCUCAUACUAAUCCAAUCUUAGUAACACAACUGCUUAAACAUAAGAUCAAUCUUUUCGAUUUUUGAUAGAAAUGAAGCGGAGUAAACAUGAUGUAGUCUAUUUGAAAUUUCUAGAACAAUAUUUUAUAAUUUUUCGACAGCAUUUGGUUGUUAUUCAGGUGAUCUCAAGAUUGACAAUUUGUAACAGAGAACAUAAGGUGAUCACUAAGUAAAUGAUGUUAUAAAAUCACAAAAUUUCGAUUCCUACGAAGUUCUGUUUAAGUUAGGAUGAAAGCUUUCAUACAUUUUCUUAUAACUGAAGUCUGCUUAAAACUUUGUCAGGCUACAGGGCAUGAGAUACCAGAAGCUCUGCUGGAUGAGGUCAUGAAUGUUUCGAGAGCGUUCUUUUGUCUUCCGAUCGAGGAGAAGCAAAAGUAUACGAAUCUGAUAGAUGGCAAGGAAUUCAAGUUGGAAGGGUACGGAAACGACCGAGUCGCGAGCGACGACCAGAUCUUGGACUGGUCGGAUCGGUUGUAUCUUUUGGUGCAGCCUGAAGGCCAGAGAAAUCUGGCUCUCUGGCCUGAAACUCCUGCCUCUUUCAGGUACUGUUUUCAUUAUCUGAAUCAAGGAUUGCGAGCCAUUGGCACGCCUCGACACGGACCCUCUUUUAUAUGUUGGCACAGUCGAUACAUGCCGACCAUGCUAGAUCGUGCGAGUGGAGUUGGAUUUUCGGUCUAUGUUAUUUAAAUUUCCUAUUUGCGAUAUUGCUGAUGCGACGUAAGAACACUCCAGUAGCAAAAAGCACUUGUAAGUAUCUCCAAAAAUGUUUUCAUACAAUGUGUCAUUAAUUCCAAAAGCUCGGGUUGUUAGAAAGAUGCAUCCAAUUCACUUAUAGCGUACAGACACGGCACCCACAGGUCUCGAUUGUGACUCGGCCCAACACAGGCCAGGCCAACACGAUGAUCUUCUCUUUCAUACAUAAUUGGAUCUCCUACUAAGUUUGGUUCUGAAAACUGUUUGCAAGCAUCAUUAGCAGAUAAAAAUAGCAUGAAAUUAUCGCCAGGUUAAGAAUUCUAACUGAUUUGGAUUAAUCUCCAGGGAAGUUCUACAUGAAUUCACCACACAGUGCAAAAGGGUGGCCAACCAUAUCCUUCGGGCGAUGGCCGAGUUAUUGGAGCUAGAUGAGGACUACUUCGUCAGCCAAUUCGAUGAAAAGGCGAUAACGUUCGCCAGAUUCAAUUACUACCCGCAGUGUUCGAGGCCCGAUCUUGUUUUCGGCAUCAAGCCUCAUUCUGACGGCUCUGUCAUGACGAUUCUGCUGCCGGAUAAAGACGUGGGCGGCCUUCAGGUGCUCAGAGACGGCGAGUGGGUCGACGUCCCAACCAUUCCUCAUACAUUGCUGGUCAACCUGGGUGAUGGCAUGGAGGUAGUACUCAGUUUCAUGUUUCUGUCGAAACUUACGCUGAAAUGCGAACAAUGAGUGCAUUUAUGCUGCUGAAACAUCGAAAUGGUGCGCAUUUAAGCGGAUAAGUCGAUCUUUUCGGUAACACGGGUUGUUGAAUACUUUACGCAGAUUAUGAGCAACGGAACUUUCAAGAGCCCCGUGCACAGGGUGGUGACGAACGCGGGGAAAGAGAGGCUUUCGGUGGCUAUGUUUUAUGCACUGGACCCAGAAAGGGAGCUGGGACCUGCAGCAGGGUUGAUAGAUGAGGAAAGGCCAAGAUUGUACAAAACUGUGAAGACCAAGGACUACCUCGCGGUGCUUUUCGAAACUUUUGCAAAGGGGAAGAGGGCCAUCGACUGGGCGAAGGUCUAAAAUGCGGUGUCGAACAACCGAAUCGAGCACCGAAGAAUACGAAAUGCCGCGAGUUUCCGCUGGUUAUGGUUGGUUUCUGACACUAGUUUGAGACAGCAUACAUGUACACUAUGCUGUACAGUAACUGUGUUUCAGUUAACUUAAAGAUGUUCUUUUUUCUCUUAACUUGGAUCUGCAACUUUAAAGAUGUUUUUUUUAAUAAAGCGAGUUCAUUUGUUUAUUGUUAUGAACAAGUUCUUGUAAAAGAUAUUAAUGAAAAAAAAAAAAAACUAAAAUUUUAAAAACUAUUUCUCUGAUGAAGGAUAUCAAAUCCCUCCUAAUAUAAUAUCUUUUAUAAAGAACUAAAAAUGUAUAUGUAUAUUCAAUGAGGAGGUUUCAAUAGAAUAUAUUGAUUGAUUCCUACAUUUGUAGACUUGGUGAAAGCAAUUGAUGAGGCUCUCUUUUAUUUCCACAUCCAUUGACUUUGUACUAAAAAUAAAAUAAAAUAAAAUAAAAUAAAAAUUAAAUAAAGAGCAUGCAUUGAUCAUUGAGUUGAAAAAUGGUACUUGAGCCUCUUUUUCAUAUUGCUCUUUAGUCCAACUUGAUGUUAAAUAGAUAAAAAUAUCUUAAAAAACCCCUCAACUAUAGACAAUUUAUUUUUAGUAAAUAAAACCAGAAUCGGGGUUAAAAUAUAUAAUAGGGAUAUAUUUCUUCGUUUUUCUGGUAGGACUGCGGAAAUAUAUCAUAAUUGAUUCAUUGCGAUACACACAAUAUAAUGUUGUGUACGAAAAUAAGCGGAAUAUUUUUUUAUAAUAUUUUUUUGUUGCAUAUGAAGUAUUAUUCUCAUAAUUUCUAACGAAGCCUCAAUUGAACCAAAAAAAAAAAAAAAAAAGUUAAAGCUUUGGGAGCUAUUUCGAAGUGGUCUAUAAUUGAGGAAACUCAUUACAUUUUUACCUAUUAAAUAUUAUAUUUUCUUCUCUUUUUGUUUUUAAUAUUUCAUAAUUCUAAAGAGAGAAAGAUAACAUUAAAAUUAGCAAAGAGAGAGAGAUAAUAUAUUAAAAUUAAGCUUAGGAGGAAGACACCUUGUAUGAUGUAUCUAUUGUCAUCUAUUAUUUUUUUAGUAAAAUAUUUCAUUUAUUAUUAUUUAGUUGGUAAGCUUUUGUAAGACCAGUAUUAUCCUCUCUAGUGAGAUAUGUGUCGGAUGAUUGGCGCUGACCAUUAAUCCCAAAAGUUCGAGCUGUUAGAAAUACGCAACCAAUUCACUUAAAACGUAUAGAAACAACGCCUAUGGGUCUCAAUUGUGACUUGGCCCAACUAGCCUCACGACACUUUGAAUAUAACUCGACUCAACCCAGCCUCACGCUAUUUCGAACAUGACUCGGCCCACACAUGACCUCCCGCCACAAGGCCAGAUGCUGACCCAUUUAAGCCAACAAUAUGUUGAGAGAAUAUAAUAUAGAACAUUAAUAUAUUUGAAUAAAUGGUCAUCAAAUUAUGAGGCGUGUAAUAUUUUGAUUUAUAAAUUUUUAUUUAUUGUAAUUUUCUAUUCAAAUUUUUUAAAUGUUCUAUCAAGUCAUUUAGUAUAUUGUAUCAAAUUUUUUGAAAAUAUUAUUCAAAUUAUUUGAACUGUGGACCAUUUUAAAUUGGCUAUCCAGCCAUUUAAGAUUUUGAUUUUAUCAUCCAAUAUUUUAAUAUGUUUGAUUUGAGUCAGUCAAGAAUACUUUAAUUUUAAAUUUUAAGAUAAUUAUUUUAAUAAAUUUAUAGUUGCGAGAAUUGAAUAAAAUAUACUAACUAAAUUUGUAAAGAUAAAUAAACAACGCAUUUAAAAAUUUGAAGUAAGAAUAAUAUUUACCGACUCAAAUCAAACAAAUUGAAAGGUUGGAUAAUGAAAUUAAAAUUUUAAAAAGUUUAGAUUGCGGAUCAAAAAUAAUACAUAGUUCAGAUAAAUUUUAUAUAUUUUUUUAUGUAAUUAAAUUAGAUAGUGAGUUGUACCUAAUGCAAGUUGAGUCACCAACCUAGCAACUACUUUUCAAAACUUUUUUUUUUUUAUUUUCUUCUAUUUUUUUUAAAAAAAAUAAAUCAUUCUAAUUUAAAAAAUAAAUUAAAAUCCGUAAAAAUGGGAGAAAAAAUUGGAAAUGGAAUACAUUUGAAACUUUCCCAGUGUGAAAGCGACAUCAUAUUUUUCCAAGCUCCCAACAACUUAUCCCAAUAUUAAAUUAUCCACAUAAAUGUUAGGAAAAAUUGAAUGGAGACCCCUCAACUAUAGGAGAUUUCUACAGAGGCUCCUCGUACUUUUUUUUUUUUAUUUAGACCUCUUAAUUUUUCUCAAUUACAAUAUAAUUUUAUUAGUUAUUAAUUAUUAGACAUUAAUUAACCUAGAUUAAUUUGUUAAAAAGUAAUUAAAAUUAUCCAAUUUGAUGAUAUCACCAAUAAAUAUGAAAAUUUCAAAAAGCUAUCUAACUUUUUAAUAUUUUAAUUUUACCGUCCAAUCUUUCAAAAUGUUUAAAUUGAUUAUAUUACCUUAAUAAAUUUAUAAUUAUAAGAAUUGCAUGAAAUAUACUAUUUGAAUAUGUAAGGAUAAACGAUAUAUUCAAAUUUUAAAAUAACAAAUAUCGUAGACGGACUCAAAUCAAAUAAAUUUAAAAAUUAGGUAGUAAAAUCAAAUUGAGGGGGCUAAAAUACAAUAAGCAAUAGUUGAGGUGUUCUCAGUAUAUUAUACACUUGUUGCUUCACAAGAAUAGUACUUAUUAUAAUAAAUUAAAUUAAAUAUUAAACAUUAAAUAUAAAUAAAUAAAUCGUGUUCACAUCCAUUUAAAAUCCCGUGCUACGUGAUAAGUAUUUGACCCUUCAAAGUUCCCAUUUUUAAUUUUGUUUCUCUCCCUCUCUCUCUCUCUCUCUCUCUCUCUCUCUCUCGUCGAUCCAAAUUGAAUAUAAAAAUCCCACAAGUCCAAUGCGUUCUUAGCGAUCUCCGAUCCAAGUCCCCCUCCUCGUUGGGGUCGGCCAUUCCCAGUUCCAAUUCCGAUCCAAAUCGAUCGAAAAAUCGGAGGAAAUCCGAGUAAAAAUGGCGAAGGAGGAGGCGGCGGCGGAGGUGUUCGUUGGGUCGCUCGAUCAGGGGACGACGAGCACGCGGUUCAUCAUCUACGAUCGCAAUGCGAAGCCCAUCGCCUCGCACCAAGUGGAGUUCACCCAAUUUUAUCCUGAAGCAGGGUACUUUAAUCUUUUCCUUUUUUUAAAAAAAAAUCUCUUUCUAUUUUCCUUUUUAAUGUGUUCGUUUGUUUUGUUUGUAUUGCAUAAACGUGCGAUUUUUGUGUUGUUAUUGUUCGCUUAUUCAAGCGAGUUUUGAGAUUUUUGCUUGAUUAUCUCUCUCUCAAAAAAAAAAAAAGAUUUUUUGCUUGAUUUUUGUUUUGUGGGAGUGUGUGUGUGUGUGUGUGUGUGUGUGUGUGUGUGUGUGUGGAGUUCACCCAAUUAUAUUCUCAAGCCUAUUAUUUUAAUCCGAGUUUAUUUAUAUUACAUAAAAGAGUUUGAUGUUUACGGUGUGUUUGUUCGAUUUCUCAUCUGGGUUUUGUGAUUUUUGUUGCAAUUUUGUCUUGUGUGCGUGUGCGUGUGCGUGUGCGUGUGCGUGUGCGUGGAAUUUACCCAACUAAUUCUGAAACGGAGUAUUUAAUCUAAGUUCAUUUUGUGUCGCAUAAAGGUAUAAUUUUUAUGUUAAAUCUACUCGAUUUCUCAACUGGGAAUUGACAUUUUUGUUGCAUUUUUAUGUUGUGGUGGUGUUUAUGGUGUUCGCCCAAUUCUCAUACUGCAUAAAGAUGCGAUUUUUGUGCUACAUCGCUUCAAUUUCUCCACUGUAUUUAGAUGCAUGUGUUGUGUUUGUGUAUAUGCGUUUGUGCGGAUGUUUGUGCUAUAUCUCUUCAAUUUCUCCACUGUGUAUUGAGAUCCAUGUGUUGUGUUUGUGUAUCUGCGUGUGUGUGUGUGUGUGUGUGAAUGCUUAGAUGGGUGGAGCACGAUCCUAUGGAGAUCAUGGAGAGCGUGCGUGUGUGCAUGGCGAAGGCGAUCGACAAGGCCACGGCUGACGGCUACAAUGUCGACGCUGGCUUGAAGGCUGUCGGGCUCACCAAUCAGCGGGAGACGACCGUCGCGUGGAGCAAAUCCACCGGCCGCCCCCUCUACAACGCCAUCGUGUGGAUGGAUGUGCGCACCAGCUCCAUUUGCAGGUCCCCGAUUGGAUCCAUUUCGAUCCCUAUUUCCAAAUUCGAGCAAUACCCAUUUGUUGUUGUUUAACGCGUUUUGGUUUGGAUUGCAUAGGAGGUUGGAGAAGGAGCUCUCGGGCGGAAGAAACCAUUUUGUCGACGUGUGCGGUUUGCCGAUUAGUACUUACUUUAGUGCUGUGAAGAUACUGUGGUUGAUGAAGAACGUCGACGCUGUUAAGUCGGCGGUUGCUGCCGGGGACGCCCUCUUUGGCACGGUCGACACGUGGAUGAUUUGGAACUUGACGGGCGGGCUCCAUGUCACCGACUGCUCCAACGCGUCGCGCACCAUGCUUAUGAACAUCAAGACCCUGGAUUGGGACAAGCCCACGUUGGAGACUUUGGGGAUUCCUAUUGAGAUCUUGCCGAAGAUCAUAAGCAAUUCCGAGCUCGUUGGUGCGAUCGCAAAAGGGUGGCCGCUCGCGGGGAUCCCCAUCUCGGGUUGCCUCGGCGACCAGCAUGCGGCCAUGCUGGGGCAAUUGUGCCGAAAGGGCGAGGCCAAGAGCACUUACGGGACCGGCGCCUUCAUACUACUUAACACCGGCGAAGAGAUCGUUCGCUCAUCUCACGGGCUCUUAACCACGAUCGCAUACAAGUUGGGCCCGAGUGCCCCCACCAACUAUGCGAUCGAAGGCUCCAUAGCGAUCGCCGGCGCGGCGGUUCAGUGGUUGAGGGAUGGGCUAGGUUUGAUUAGGUCGGCGGGCGAGAUAGAAGAGCUGGCAGAGUCGGUGGAGAAUUCGGGCGGGGUGUACUUCGUGCCGGCGUUCAACGGUUUGUUCGCGCCGUGGUGGAGGGACGACGCAAGAGGGGUUUGUAUCGGGAUCACGAGGUUCACGAACAAGGGCCACAUUGCGAGGGCGGUGUUGGAGAGCAUGUGUUUUCAGGUGAACGACGUGUUGAAUUCGAUGCAUAAGGAUGUCGACGAGGGAGAGGGGGAGUUCUUGCUUAGGGUUGAUGGCGGCGCUACCGUGAACAACCUUCUCAUGCAGAUUCAGGUAUAUGCUUAGCACAAAGUUAUGAAUUUUGUUCAUUUUUUUUCACUAAAAUACAUGUCUUCUGUUGUUGCUUCAAGCCUUUUUUGAUUUAGGCAUGAAAUUUUAUUGGCUACAAUAUAUGAUUUCGGAGAUUUCGGUGCGGACUUGGGAAAGGUCUCUAUACCAAUUUUGAUAGAUUUCGAUAGAUGUCUCAUAGUGAAAAACGGACUAUUCUAUUACUUGACGGAGUCUCCGUGAUCUACGAAAGCCAUGAAAUUCGUUUAGUUGUGAACCGCAAUACAUUCAUGUCCUCUUUACUCCUAAAAUUUUUACACUUCCAAUGAUUCUUCAUUCUCAACAUCUGAUUCUUCGCAUUCUUAGCUUUGUGAAAACACAUGCCGUUCCUCAAGUUGGCGACAUAUUUACCAUUUUACCAUUUGAUGAUGGCUCAAGAAAAUUCUUUAAACUAAUGGCUCAGUUAUUCUUGUGUGUUUGUAGGCUGAUUUGUUGGGUAGUCCGGUGGUUAGACCGGCCGAUACCGAGACGACCGCACUCGGAGCAGCAUACGCAGCGGGAUUAGCUAUCGGGCUGUGGACCGAGGAGCAAAUAUUCGCAGGCGAGCACAAGGAGAAGACCACUAUCUUCCGCCCGAAGCUGGACGAGGCCGAGCGGAAGCAGAGGUCCGAGUGUUGGUUCAAAGCCGUGUCGAGGACCUUCGAUUUAGCCGAUUUGUCGCUUUAGUUCUAAUUCCCCUUUAACUCCAGUAACUCCAUUUCUCAUUCUGAAUAAGUGAUAUGUGAACUCCUGCAGUGGUUGGACUGGGUUUUGUUGUGCUGUGGUGGUGUUGAUAGGAAUGAAAUUGGAUCAUUCGGCGACUUUUAAUCUUCUGUUGAUACUCGAAUGUUAUCGUACUUGUAGUUCUUAGUUUCUUUAAAAAGUUGUGGAGAUGCAUCAUAAUUCCUUUAUUAAAAUUUGGUCUGAUAUGUUCUGAUUUGAAAGAACAGCAGUAAUUUUCUUUGUUUAGCAAUUUCUUGCAAAAUUGAUAGAAGUAAACACUGGUGCAACAUAUGAUGUAUUUCUUCUGUAGACCAUUUUAUUAUGGUGUCAAUUUAUGUAUUUUUCUUUUUUUGAGUUUAGCCUGCUUUUAAAAGUUUUCGAUUUUCUGAUUUACCUUUCUUAGAAAAAUAAUAUUAAAAAUAUUUUUUUUAUAUUCCAACUUAUUUUAAGUAUAUCUAUGGAGUUUUUGUUAAUGAACCGUUAACAAUAACUGGUAUUUUCAUUAAAUUACUGUUUUGUCCUUUCAAAUAUACUCUUCUAUCAUCAUCGACUUUUCUUAUUUGCACUUAAAUUAGGGGCACAAAAAAUAAUUUAAUUGUUGAUCUUUCGAAUAUAUCCUUCUAUCAUCACUAAUAUUUUUUAUUUGCCCUUUAAUUAAAGUCAAAAGAAGCAUUUGAUUUUUUUUAAACUCUGGUAGAUAAGUAACUCACAUUUAGCCCAAGUUACCUUAACGGAUGGUAACGAUAAAAGUAUUUUGAAAUAACCGAAGAACAUACGAAAAAUAUAUUGAAAAGAAAAAAAAAAGAAGAUAUUUUCGAAGUUUUCCGAGGUAUAUAAACAAUUAUCCCUCUAUCUUUCAAGGGGUGUUAGGUUCUUCAGAAAAACGUGAAAAAUCUGUUUUUUUGGGAAAAAAAAAAAACCAUUUUUCACAAUUUUAUAUUCCAGAUAAAAAUUUGGGAAAUAGAAAUGCCACUUUUCCACAGAACUAGCCAGAAACCUAUUUUUUUGAAUAUUUUUAGAAAAAUCAAACACCCCCUAAGUAAAAAGCAACCACCCCAACCUGCACACGCAGGAUCACCAAAUUCACGGCGCAUUCGCAUAACAGAGACCAAGAAUUCAGAGAGAUGGUUAUGGUUGUGUUGAAGCUGCAGCGUGAACAAAUUCAUAUUUCCAUCGAAGAAUGCACCGGAAAACUGAAUACAUCUAAAUUUAGUCACCUCAAACAACUAAUGAAAAAAUAAUUCUCACUUCAAAGAAGAAUUUGGCACAGGUAGUGGAACAGUUCAAUGGUUCCAACCAUAACUCAAUACCUCAACAGAUGAUAGAUUUCGGAAAUAGAAAGUUAGCUCUACUGCUGAGUCUCUCCACACUGUAAGGACUGUGUAAUGCUUCAUCUCUGAACAUGGUAGCAGAAACAAAACCACUCAAAUCACUCGAUCAGCCGAGCGCGACAAAUCCUCUCUGUACAGCAAAGUAAACUAAUCCGGCGGUCAAUGAAUCUGUUAAAAGCGGUUGGUCUCCGGGUUUUAGUUUCAUGUGCGGCAUCGAACCAAAGCAGAGGAUCUCUAUUUGCUCCUCAUGCAAUGGAACAGACUUUCUCUGCAACAAAAUUUUUAACUAAAUUUAGCAAAUAUUACAAGAAAGCAAAACCGAGCUAAAAAGAAGGGUUUUUUUUUAAAAAAAUUUUUUGUGCAUAUAAAUCCCUGCAAAUAUGUGAAAUGGCACAAUUGCACUUGUUUGUGCGGUGGCCCUAAAAAAGAUAUAAUGCAAAUAAAUAAGGUUUUCGGAGCCACGGACACAAACACCAACUUCGCAGGGGUACCUGUAGAAUUUUGCAUGUUUGCGGAGGUAUAUAUGCACAAAUAAGCACCAUUUUUUUUCUUUUUUUUUUUUAGGAAGAAACACCUUGUCUAGAACUGCCGCAACAAAGCCGAUCAUCAUCUACAUAAGUAGUAUCGACUCCCAUCAUCCACGAACCAACGGAUAUAUCGUCAUGAGAAUAGGUUUUUAGAGAUGCACUGUAUGAAAGAAAGAGAUUGGAAUUCAUAUUUUUAUUUCCAAAAAAAAAGCUCAUCAUCCUACCAGAAGAGAGAAGAACGAGGCUACACUAAAGUCCACGUUCUUAUGCCAGCCAAGGUAGUCCAGCGAUCGUGUACUAUUUAAUAUUGUGACUAAUACCAAGUUGCAAAAACAGCUAAGUGAUGGAAUGACAUGUUGUAUUAAAGUUAAUUUUUGUAAAUGAGUUAAAGAACAACAAUUGGCGUUUGGCGUGCACCUGUUGAUGUUGAUGUAGCGAGCCAAGUUAUUUGACAGUAUAAAUAAAGAACCAGAAGCAUGCCGGAAAUACCUGCAUUCAUAAUUUUUUUUUUUUAAAGAAGAGAAACACUGCUUAAACAAUUAUUAGCAGUUAAAGAAUGAAGUAUCUUGUGAAGAUACAGGAAUCUUUGUUCAAAAUUUCUUACUAAAAAUAAACACUACAAAGUCCGUCCUUUAAGUAGUGAAGUUUCAACCAUAUGAAAAAUCUAUAGAAAUACAACCCACAGUUCUAACUUCUAACUAACUAUCAUAAGUCCAAAUCUAUUAUAAGUAUACGCUCAUGCCACUUGAAGGGUACGUUACCCAUGCAAGAAUAAACAUGAGGAUAUAUCAAAAUGAUGCAAUCAAAAACAUGGAAACUUUACUGGGUAUAAUGGGAUUGGCGCAUUGAAAAUUAUGACCCAAUAUCAACCAAUAUGUUAAAAGCACAUAAAGUUAUAAGGCUCAUCUCAAACUCUUGUUGAUAGUUUUCUUAUUAAAUUGCUCAAGAAAUUACAUUGUACUAAUCACCUUAAUUCAUAUCCACUAGUUAUGCUUGUGAAGGAUACAACAAGAGAUUCAGUAGUUGUGACCAACAAAAUCCUAUGCAUCAUUUCUCUCAAAGUUUCAAUCUUCUCAAACUGUGGCUUCAGUCAAUCCAAUUGAUACGAUGUGACAAAGAGUCAUCAAUAAAUGUUGUGGCAAUGCUAUAUUUAUGAUCAUGCCAAAUAAAACGCGAUAUUAACAUGCCUCAGAAGUUGGGCAAUUGAAAAUUCUCACAAGCAUAAAGCCAUCAUCGAUAAAAAUCAAAUUCCAAAUUGAAAGAAAAUGCAAUAUAUACUCACGAUUUUGAAUCUCCAAAUUUCCACCAUUCAGGUUCAUACCACUGUUUUCCCCUGAAACAUAAAAGAAGAAAUUGGUUAAUAAAAGCAAGGACUCAAAUCCCUCUUCCUUAUACAUGCAAAGAUGGUUGACACUUCAUAAAGUGAAGGGCAUAAUAUUAUUUACUAAAUGAAUUUCUAUAAAACCUGAAGCAUUCUAUAUGCCGAAGAGAAAAACAAAAGGAAUGGAGUUAAUAAAAAAUUACAACAAAUGGAAUGCCUUCAGCUAGGACCUUAAAAGAAAAGGCUUUGCAUUCCGAGAAGAUAUAUAAAAGUCAAGUCAUUUCAAAAGAAGCAAAACUUUUGUUAUAUUGAUUAAGCACCUGAUUAACCUAAUACAGCUAUAAUUUUAAUAUAUAUGUAGGACUUCACCACUGGACAAGCAUACGUACUCAAUUAAAUAAGUAGCACAUGAAGAAUAAAAAAUGCAAUUUCUGCCAUAAAAAUAUGAGAACCAAGAGCAUACUCUUCACUUACGACAACUCCUGACUUCAUGCAGCCCAUGUAGACACCUUGAUGACCACGACGACUUUCAAGAAUCUCAAUUAACCCAUCUAAAACAGAGAGAGAGAGAGAGAGAGAGCAAAAAAAAAAAGGUAUGAUGUUAAAGACUCCUUUGACACUCCAAUAGUCCUACAACAGACAAUGUGUAAGAUUGUGACGUGCUUAUAUAAGAAGGGCACACUAGAACUAAUAACUAAGCUUAAAUAUUUUGGACUGGUGGUUUGGAUCCAACGAGUAAUUAAUGCUAGUUGACUGGAUCGUUACAGUUGAUAUCAGCGCCGAUUCACCACAUCAUCUAAAAAUCUUGGACUAUGUAUGGGACUAUGUAUGGGAUCGCGUUGACGACGUCGUCAGGGCCUAAAACAGGAGGAAUUCGUGAUACCCCCAUAGUCCCAUAUCAAAUAAUGUGGGAGAUUGUGGGGAACUUAUAUGCGACAGGCACGCUAGAACUAAUAAUUGAGCUUAAGCAUUUUGGGCCGGUGGUUUGAACCCAAUGAGCCGUUAGUACUAGUGGGCUAGGUCAAUACAACUCCUAUGGUACAUGUAAAAUUAUUGUUGCAGCAAAUUAGCACAAAGAACCAUUUUUUUAACCUAGGUCAAGGUUGAUAUUAUCAUCAACUUUAACAUAAAACUCUGCAUCCCAUGCUUCAACUGCAGCACUGAAGAAGGAUUUAGCUUUCCUGGGCAACUCAUCUUCAGCUUCCUCAUGACUUUCCUGGUAGAAAAACAGUAGAGCAGAUAAGGAUCAAAGAACUAGAAAAAUCACAUCGGCCGAUUCAUGAGGAGAAUUUAAAGGAAAAAAACUCAAAUCAGAUGUUACACAUUAGAACUAUAAAUUCAUCAAAGAAUUGCACAAACAAAUUCAUAAUUACAAAAUAAAAAGAAGAUAAUAGAGGAUAGAGAAAAUUAGAAGCCAUCAGAACGAUAAACCAUUGAAAUUUGCAAAAUGGAACUUCUGUUUGAGUUAUCAACAACUUACAAGGAUCAAGAAAUCUUUCGUCCGCCGGUUUUCAUCAUCAAUAUUACGAUCUAAGCUAUCACCUCGAUUAGCGCUGCACAUUCCAAAUUUUGAAAUCAAAAUGCAGUGAAUAGCAAAGUCUACAUAAAUUCAAUCCAUCAAUUUUCAUUGCAUAAACUUCACAUGCCAAUACAAGAGUACACAACUAAGUCUUUAGGACCAUAACGAAUUAGAAAAGGUUUGAGAUUUUUUGGAAGAAAACCUCCGACCAAUUACAAAACGGAUGACGACACCCUUUUCCUCGAGCUUCCUUAGGGCAUCACCUGAGAAAUUACAAUGUUAUGUUGAUAUAAGAAAAUACAAAAUGCACAACCAGCAUAAUCAUAAAGACACUGACAAUUUUCAACUCCCCUGGAAUAUGAACUCUAUAAACCUAAAGUAGGAUUCUAGAGAAGAAAAAAAAAAAGUCAAAUUCAGCUAGGGAAAGCGUAAAUUGCGUGCCACAUUGCAUUGUUUGUGUCCAUUUGAACCUUUCACCUAUCAGAUAGUUCAAGUCAAUCAUAUGUUUUAAAAAGCAUAUAAGAUUUUCGCUGAAAUGUGAGUUCAAGACCAGAAUGUUUUGUGAGAAACUAAUGAAGACAACUGGUAUUGGGCUAGCUAUCAGCAAUCAUUAAUUGUCUUAAAGAUACAAAAGCACACAUCUUUUUGAGAUUUUUCCACAAUUUGCAACAACUAGCACACUAACCUCUCGGCAUCCAUGAUCCCCUAAAUAUGUUUCUCCUGAGACGACUCCCGAAUCCGGUAUACACUCCAAUCACUGCAAGAAGUUUCUUCGCCGAUGUAGUAGACCCAUUCCUCCACAAGUAUCCCUGACUCUUUGCAAGAGUCAAGUCCAUCUCCGCCUCAACUAUCUUCCUCCCAAUCUCUCUACAGCAGAACCAUACAAAUUACAAUUUUCCACAAAAAUAACUUGAAAAGAAGGAAAUGAAACCCUAAACAGUUCACGUGAUCUAUACUUGCAUCCAAGGCUCUUCAACUUAUCCUCCACCGUAAGCACCUUCGGAAGCUGCAAUUAACUAUUAUGAGAAUUACAAAAACUACAGAAUCAAAAUCAAAACGAACAGAGAUCGAGAGAAAGAGAGAUCCAUCCACACAUUGCCCGAGUUCAUCUGAAGAAGAGUGGACAGGACGAUCCGAUUCUGCGAAUCCUGCCACAACCUGAUCAAAAAAGAUAAUCACCAAAAAAACGGAAAAUUCGGAUCGAUUGGGAGAAGUUGAGAUCGGAUGGAGAAGGGGGCGGGCGAGGGGAUCGCACCUGCCUGCGACGUAGAGCCAUGCGAGGCACGACAAGAAGCCCAUGAUGAGGUGUGCUUUGGAGGAGGAGGAGGAGGAGGAGGAGGAGGACGACGACGAAGAAGAGGAUGAUGACGAUGAGGGUUUGGAGUGGUGCGGCUUCCACCGGCGCUCGUGCUUCAUGGCGCUCGCGAGCGUCUCGCGGUGGAUCGGGAGGUAGCCGCCGCUCUCCAUGGCAGCGGCGGCGGCGGCGGCGGUGGGGGGGAGGGAUUUGAGAUCGGAGAGGAGGGAGACGAGGAUGGUGUGGGGUUUGAGGAGAGAGAGAGAGAGAGAGAGAGAGAGAGAGAGAGAAAGAGCGUGAGAAUGGGACUGAGAUCGGCCGGAAACCGGUUUGUUUAUAAAGACUGGUCCGAUCGAUCUGAACCGGACCGGACCGGACCGGAAUGGUGUUUUUUUUUUUUGGUUCCAUUUUUUUUGGGUAAACUUAUCCCAGUAAGUUCACACUUUCUUAUUUUAGUACCCUAGUUUAAAGUAUAUUAAUUUAGUACCUCGCAAUUUUUUUUUUUAUUAUCUCUUUCACUAUUUUUUUUUUUUGUUAAAUUAAUUACAAAGUUAAAACUAAAAAAUACUAAAAUAAAUAUUUAAUAAACCUAGGUUGGAUAUGAAAUGUUAAUUGAGAAAUUGAAGAAAAGAGAAAAAUAAAACUAUAGAAUAUUAAAUUGAUACACUUUAAAUCAUAGAAUAUUAAAGUGAGAAAGUGUGUGGUAUUUAAAAUUUACCCUUUUUUAAAUCCAACACUUAACCUUGAGAAUUAGGUGCACCAUUAGUUUCUAAACCUUAUCUAUAUUUUUCCCUUCCAUUUUAACUUUUUUCUCGCGCACAUCUGUCAUAUUAAACACAAUUUUACUAUUUCAGAGUCAUCUUUCGAAAAUAUAAUUAUUUCGAUCUCGCACGCGAUAUUUAAAAGUUCAGCAUUUCAGAUUAAGUUCGGUAUGCCGCAAUAUUUUUUCAAAAAUUUUAAAAAAUGGAUACCAAGAUUGACGAAAAAUUACGAUUGACUAUAUAGAAAGAUUAUUAAAAUUUUAAAUAGUAAAAAAAUAAAUAUAUAUUUAUAUAUUAUUUUAUAUAAAAAUUUAUUUAUUUAUUUUAGUUAUUAAAAAGUAUAAAAACCACUCCAGCAAUACACGUUUCCCCACGCAAACGUUACGGAGCAACGAAGAAAUCGCUCUUUUUUACGAUACACCCACUUUAAACAGACGGUUAAGAUCCGCCCUCUGAUGAAUCGAACAGGUCCGAAGGCUCAGAGCGCAUGGGUAACCAUUUCUAGGGCUGGCAAAUGAGCGAGCAAGCUCGUGUUCGACUCGGUCGCUCGAAUUAAGCUCGAAAUGAGGGAGCCAACUCGUGUUCGAGUCGGCUCGCUCGAAUUNUAUAUAUGUAUAUAUAUAUAUACAUAUAUAUAUAUAUAUAUAUAUAUAUAUAUAUAUAUAUAUAUAUAUAUAUAUAUAUAUAUAUAUAUAUAUUAUGCUAUUAAUAGCACCAAGUCAUUGGUGCUACCAAGUUUUUGGUCAUUGGAUUAAGAGAUGUGUGGUUAGGAUGAUGUGGGCCCCUUAGGGUUGAGUGGGUGGUUGGUUGAAUAGUAUGAUCUAAUGGAUGAAAAUGAUUAAAAGGGUAGAUCUAACGACAGAAAACUUGGUAGCACCAAGUGCUUCGUGCUAUUAAUAGCAUAAUAGCCGGACUCUCUCUCUCUCUCUCUCUCUCUCUCUCUCUCUCUCUCUCUCUCUAUAUAUAUAUAGGCUACUAUAUUAUUAAUAGUACCAAUCACUUGCUAUUAGGUUUUUGAUUUUUGGAUAAAGGGAUGUGCGGUUAGAAUGAUAGUGAUCCCCUAGGGUUGAGUGGGUGGUUAGUUGAAUAAUAUGAUGUAAUGGCACAAAAUUCGAUAGUACCAAAUAUUUAGUACUAUCAAUAAUAUAGUAGCCGAACUCUCUCUCUCUCUCUAUAUAUAUAUAGUCCGGCUACUACACGAUCCAUACUAUCCAUAGUAAGCGCUUUGUAUUAUUGAGUUUUCUGCUGUUAGAUCUGCCUAUAUAUAUAUAGAGUCUGGUUAUUAUACUAUCGAUAGUACCAAGCAUUUAAUACUAUCGAGUUUUCUGGUGUUAAAUCUAUCAUUGUGGACAUUUUCAUUCGUUAGAUCAUAUUAUUCAACUAGCCACCCACUCAACCCUAGGGGGCUACUAUCAUCCUGACCGCACAUCCCUUCAUCUAAGGCUCGAAAAUCUAAUAGCAAGCGGUUUGUACUAUUAAUAGCGUAGUCGCCUAAUUCUAUAUAUAUAGGCUCGGACUACUAUACUCUUAUAAGUAUAGUAGGGCUGGCAAACGAGCGAGCCGGCUCGCGUUCGACUCGUGUUCGGCUCGAUAUUUGGCUCGCUCGAGCUCGACUCGAAAUUAAAUGAGCCGAGCUUGAACAAAAUAAAAGGCUCGAAAUUCAUUUCAAGCCGAGCUUGAGUAUUACUCGGCUCGUUCGAAUUAGGCUCGAAAAGCUCGAAAGCUCGAAAUAUAUAUAUAUAUAUAUAUAUAUAUAUAUAUAUAUAUAUAUAUAUAUAAUGUAUUUUAAUUAUAUAUAGGCUUUAAUUUAUUUUGGGUCAUUAUUGUUGGCCCAUAAAAUAAACCCAACAAGUACAAUCGUGCAAUUGAGCCCAACUCUAAAUUUACAUAACACACUCUCUCUUUCAGACUUUCACUGUUGCACAUAACCCUAAAACAUGAUAACAUUUAAAUUCCCAAAUCUCUAAUUUUUUUCCCCCUCUCUCUCUCUCUCUGACCCUCAUCCAGUCAGGCAGUCACCCUAGCUCACAUUUCUUACAAUUAUUUUGUAUUUUGAACUAUUGAACAUGUUGCAUCAAAUUAUAGAUAAUGUUCUAUAAAAAUUAAACUAUUGAUUAUAUAAUGUUGAGAAUUUCAAUCGGCUCGUUUAGAGCUCGAGCUCGGCUCGACUCGAAAUUAGGCUCGCUCGAGCUCGGCUCGAAUUAAUUUCAAGCCGAGCUUGAGCCUAGAUUUAGGCUCGAAAUUAAUUUCAAGCCGAAUUUGAGCUGACAUAAGCUCGCUCGAGCUCGGCUCGUUUCCACCCCUAAAGUAUAGACCCUUUUAUACUUAUAAAUUUUCAGCCGUUUGAUGUACGGUUAGAAUGAUAGUGGUCCCCUAAGAUUGAGUGGGUGGUUCGUUGAAUAGUAUAAUUUAACAGAUGAAAAUGGUCAAAAGGAUAAAUCUAACGGUCGAAAACUUAUAAGUAUAAAGGGAUUUAUAUUCAUAAAAGUAUAUAUAGUAGCCAAAUUCUCUCUCUCUCUCUCUCUCUCUAUAUAUAUAUAUAUAAUUAUAUAUAAUAUAUUUUAAUUAUAUAAAAUAAUAUAUAUUAUGUAUUUUAAUUAUAUGUAAAUAGAAUUUAGAUUAUUGGGCCCACAAAAUCAAACCAGUAAAAUCCUAUUUUAAUUGCUCUCCUUCUCUCUUUUUCACUUCCUCGCAGAGUCGCUUUCUCUAAUUUUUUUAGUAUUAUAAUAUCGUAUUUCAUGUAUUUAUUUUGUAUAAUUGUAUGUUAAAUUAUUAGAUUUUUUAUAUCAAAUUUUAGAUAAUGUUUUAUAAAAAUAAAACUAUAGAUUGCACGAUAUUAAGAAUUUCAAGCAGCUCGUUUAAAGCUCGAGCUCACUCGACUCGAAGUUAGGCUCGCUCAAGCUCAGCUUGAAUUAAUUUCAAACCAAGCUUGAGUCUAAAUUUAGGCUCGAAAUUAAUUUCAAGCCAAACUUGAGCUGAGGUAAGCUCGCUCUAGCUCGGCUCGAUUCCACCGCUAAAGUCCAUUUCCUUCGUGUUGACUUUUUGUUUGAAUAUGUAUAAUGUAGCAAUACUACUUGGUACAUGUUAAAGUGUUCCAUGAACCUAGUCCACGGUGCGACCACAACAAUUAACUGUUCUGCGGACCUGGUCCACCACGUCAGCCUAUAAAUUUUAAAGCAAAAAAGAUAAGGCUGUUAUAGAUCUCAAAUUUUAAUUUAUUAUAAUUUUCAUUCAAAUUUUAUAAAUUAUUAUAAUUUAUUUUAUAAUAUAAUUUAAUCAUCUAAAUAUAAUAAUAUAAUGUGAGUGAUGUAGUAAAACUACAGUUGAUAAUAUAGAAAUGACUAAAAUACUAUAUUAAUUGUAACAAUAUAAAUGUUAGAAUCAAAAAUUAAAAAAAUUAAAACUGUAGGGCCUAAAUGUCAGUUUAAGAACCAAAAGUAUACUAAAGUCAAAAAAGUUAUUAAAUUCAUUUAAUUCUAUUCGGCAGGUUUUAAAAUUUGUGGAGAAUAAAAUCUUAUAUGGAGAGAGAUUCAUUUAUAAAAUUAUUUAUUUAUUUUAUUUUUUAUAAAUAUUAUUAAAUAUUAUUUUAUAAUAUUAUUAAAUAUUAUAAAUAAUAUUAUAUUCAAUAUUAUAUUUUAUAAUAUUUAAUAAUAUUAUAUUUUUAUUGGUCCAAAAAUAAAGAUGCAAAAUAUGCAAAAUUUAAAAAAACUUAGAUGCGUUGAGCAAUGCUUCUAUGCACCGAACAAAUCUCAACCAUUAAAAUUUUUUAAAUGGACGGUAACGAUAGACCUAUUAAAAGAGGGUGACUGGCACUUGGGGGUAUAGGUAUCGGUCACCACUUUAAUAAGGGUAAAAUUUUUUUUUUAUUACAUGGAGUUUGCAAUGAGGGCAUUUUGAUAAUUUUCCAUCCUCAUAAUAUGCCAUUUUUGUAAAUUUAAAAUAUUCCACCUUCCUUCAUUUUUAUCCUCCAACAUUUUAUCUUUGUAUUAUUACCUUUCCUAAAUUAAACCUCAUGUCUUUAAACCAUAGUUAGUUAAUUCGAAUACGAUAAAAAUUCGAUACGGAUAAAAUACGAAUAAAAUUCGUAUCUCAAUUUUUAAGUUCGUUGAAAAAUACGGUUUAAAAAUUAGAUUCGCCAAUAAUUCGUAUACGCGAUUUAUACGAAAAUUUUACGUUUAUCAUUUAAAAAUUCGGAAUAAAAAUUUGUUUAUUUAAUUAAAAUUUUUUUAGUUUUAUGCUAUUAUCAUGCAUAAAUAAUUAUAAUUCUUAUAAAAUAUAAAAAUAAAAUUGGAUAUAGGUCUAGCUACUAUACUAUUAUGAGUACGAUCGCCCUCGUACUCAUAAGUUGUUUUCGAUGAUAGGGCUUCCGAAUCGACGAUCCACAUCAUUAAACAUUAUUUACAGCAUUUAAAACUUUUAGAAAUCAAAUUUUAUAAAUUUUCGACAUUAUUUAUCUUACGAUCAAAAGGUCACAAAUUUGACAAUUUUUAACGGCCGAUAUGGAAUACUUGCUAGUUUAACGGUGUAAAAGAAUCGGAAUUUGUUGAAUUUUUGAUAGAAAAUUCUAUUCACUAUAUAGAUAAAGAUAAAUAACUCCGAUCUUGAAUUGAAGGAUCCGAUCAUUCUUUUUUAGGACGUCGUUCGAUUUUGACCGUUCAUUUUAUUCCCACUUAAUGGAUUUUAUUAUGAUUUCAAAAUUUUACGAAAUUUAUUUUCUAGAAGUUUUAAAUACUCUAGAUCAUAUUAAACGGAUUGGAUCGUCGAUUCGGAAGCUCCAUCAUUAAAAACAACUUAUGAGUACGAGAGCUUCAAUACUUAUAAUAGUAUAGUAGUCAUGACCUAUAAAAAUCUUACAAAAUAUGAUGAUAUGACAUUAAAAUUUUAUAUCAAAGUUAUUGAUCUUGUUUUAUAUGGUAUAAAGAAUUUUCUAUCAAAAUUUCAUGCGAUUUGGAUAUUUCUACACCGUUAAACUUGCAACCGGCUCACCACAGCUAUUAAAAUUAUUGAUUUUGAGCCCCUUCGAUCACUAGGCAAAUGAUAUCGAAAAAUCACAAAAUUUAUUUUCUAGGUACUUCAAAUACUCUAGAUCAACUUUAACGGAGCCGAUCGUCGAUUCGAAAGUCCGGACAUCGAAAAUAAAGUAGAAGCACGGAGGGCUCCAUGCUUCUAUAAGCAUACCAGCCACACAGACACAAAAAGGGGGAGUGGAGCGAAAAGUCCACCGUAGACCUCUCACUCCACACAGUCCAUGAGAGUGCAGCCUCGUGGACCGCAAUAUUCGGUGGACCUCUCACUCCACACAGUCCACGAGGCUGAGUGCAGCCUCGUGGACCGCGAUAUUUUCCUACACAUAGGCCGCGAUUUCUUUUUCCUCGUCGCUCCUCUUUUCCUUUUUUGUUUUAGAAUCAUUUAGUUUAAAUAGUUAACAAUUUUUAUUUUUUUAACUAUAAUAUAAACUAAAUCUAAAUUUAAAAUUUAAUUUUAAUCAAUAUUUUUAAACUUUAAUAUUAUUUUUACUAUCGAAUUAACAAUUUGAAUUUAAUUUUAAAAAUAAAAACCUUUAAUUUAAAUAAAAAUAAAUGUUAUAUUUAUAAAUACAGCAUAAUAAUUUAUAUUAAAAGUACAAAGAUAAAAAAAUCCACACAUAAAUUUUACCUUAAAUUUUCUAAAAAAGAAGUCGGUCUAUGGUGUAAAAGGUACACUAGGUCCACGAAGUAAUUUCUCUCCGUACGAGGCGUGUACUUGUAGGAUUACACCCCACCGCGAGAUCAGAAUCACACGGCUAUUAUUACACGAACCACUUAAUCCCCCACCAACCAAUGCGGAAUAACUUUUAUUCCCGCAUCUAUUCCCGAUUCUCUAAUUCUCUCUCUCUCUUCAUAUAUAAGCCCCUCUCUCUCCUCUCUCCUCUCUCUCAUUCUCCACCUUUUUUUCUCUCUCUAGAAUCGUUUCCUUCUCCGGCGACGGCGGAGGGCGAUGGCGACGCCGCGGAGGUCGAUAAGGGAGGAGGUGGCGCGGAGCGUGGAGGCGUACCGGCUCCGGCAGCGGAGGAGGAAGAAGCAGCGGCGGAGCUUGAGUUUACCCUACGGCGGCGGAAGAGGAACGUGCUCGUGCUCAUGAGCGACACCGGCGGCGGCCACCGCGCCUCCGCCGAGGCCCUCCGCGACGCGUUCCGGAUCGAGUUCGGCGACGNUCCACCUUUUUUUCUCUCUCUAGAAUCGUUUCCUUCUCCGGCGACGGCGGAGGGCGAUGGCGACGCCGCGGAGGUCGAUAAGGGAGGAGGUGGCGCGGGCGAUGGCGAGGUAGUGUUUUGGGGGGAGGAGGAGGCGGAGGGGACGGUGGAGCUCGCCCAGAUCGGGGCGGAGCGGACGAGGAACGUGCUCGUGCUCAUGAGCGACACCGGCGGCGGCCACCGCGCCUCCGCCGAGGCCCUCCGCGACGCGUUCCGGAUCGAGUUCGGCGACGAUUACAAGGUGCGGGUGCUUAGUUCUUAGGGUUUUAUUUUGGCCGUUUAAUUCGUAUUUAUGCUUCGCCUCUUUGUUAAUUAGGGUUUUUUUUUAGUUUUUUUUUGCCAAUUUUAGGAGUUUCCCUUAUCUUCGUAAUAUUGUUGCUUCAACGUGCACUCUUGGACUAUAAGGAAUAGUUUACUGUGACUCCCUCAACUAUAGGCCAUUUCCAAAUAGACCCCUCAUUUUUUAAAAAAUUUUUAGUUAGUUUAGUGAAUUAAUUUGAGAAUUUUGUCCAAUUUAAACAGUGGUAUAGUUAAAUUAAAUUGUUUUGAAUAUUUUUUCAGCUAUUUUGUCAACUAUUUGAUAACUAGUUGCUUAAUUUUCACGAAUCUCGAACUUGAUUUAAAGUAAUUUAGAUUAACAUAAUAAAAAAUUAUAUAAUUUCUCAAUAAAAAAAAUUAGAGUUGAAGGUCUCCAUAGAUCUUUACCUGAGAUUUUGUGCACAUAAAUUGCUUAUCAAAUUGUCUGUGUCAAAAGAAUUGCUUAUGAAGGACAAUAUUUUUUCUGCUUACCUGGUAGUUGACUUUGACUAAAAGGGGACCAAGCUCUUCCCGUUUCCUCUGCCACAACUGUAAAUUUGUCUUUUUUUUUAAUUUAAAUUGAUUUAAAAUUGUGCUUUUGAUCUUCUAAAUGGAUGUUUCGAUUUAAAAUUUUGCAGGUGUUUGUUAAGGAUUUGUUUAAAGAUCAUGCAGGAUGGCCACUGAAUAACAUGGAGAGAUCCUACAAGUUCAUGCUGAAGCAUGUCCAGCUGUGGAAAGUGGCCUUUCACUCCACCUCCCCUCGCUGGGUCCACAACUCCUAUCUCGCCGCACUCGCCGCCUUCUAUGCCACGUAUGGAUUAUCUGUCUUGCUUGUUGUUGUGAAAUUUGGAACAGUGAUUCAUACAGAGGGAGACACAGAACCUUUUCAAAUGUCUUAUAUUUAAGUACUAAUUUAGUCGUAGUCUAUGAUGGAGAAUUGGUAUGGGAAACAGGGGAAAAAAAAUUUCCUUAAAAAGUGAGGCUGGUUCUUAAUGUAAUGAUAUUUAAAUAUAAUGCACUUGUCAUCUAGGUUUCUUCCCUGAAAAAUGAAUGCUAUCACUAUAUCUUGGAUAAUAUGAAAAUGUGCAUCGCCUAGCAAGACUUUCAAAUGUCUGUGUAGUUAUGCCCAGUCCUGUUUGGCCCAGCUAGAGUUCCUGCAAAAGUGUUGUUUCAAUAUGUGUGUUGAAAGGAGAAUAGGUGCAUUCUGAUACUGCUAGAAGAGCAAGCUUGAAAUCGCAGCUUCUGUUUCUAGGGUUGAGAAACUUUUGGCUCCCAACUGCAGCAAAAAUCUUUCAACCUUUACUGUUCGCGAAAAUGCCUGAACCCUGCGUCUCAAGAGCAGGGCAUGUUCUAGAAGCAGGGCCAAAUGAGCACCAGAAAUCCUUCAAGAAUAGAAAACAGUGUCCCUAAAUUUUAAAAUGCUGCCUGCAGAAAAUAGCUUGUAUUUUACUAAAAAUACACACGUCAUACGAAACUUGAUUGGUAUCUGAGUUGCUUAACAUUUGUGGCUGAAGGAAGUUUGAGGCCGGUCUGAAGAAGUACAAGCCGGACAUCAUCAUCAGCGUCCAUCCCCUCAUGCAACACAUUCCUCUGUGGGUUCUCAAAUGGCAGGCCCUUCAAAAUAGAGUUGUUUUCGUCACCGUCAUCACAGACCUAAAUACUUGCCACCCUACAUGGUAUGCCCAACUGGUUUGUGAAGGAAAAAUUCUAAGUGCCACUUUCAUUUACCUUCUUCAUGAAGCAUUUGAGAAGAAACACUUUAGAUCUUAUAACCUUAAAUUAAUCAAAGAAUAAAAAACUUUUCAGGUUUCAUACCAGUGUCAACAGAUGUUAUUGCCCUUCAGAGGAGGUUUCAAAGAGGGCAUUGCUCGAGGGCCUAGAGCCUUCGCAGAUUCGUGUGUUUGGCUUGCCAAUUAGACCGUCCUUUUGUCGUGCGGUACUUGUAAAGGUAUGUUUUUGCCGACCAUUACAUUUUAUUUUAGAAUUCUGUUCUUGGAUGAUUUAUGAUAUGUCCUCAGAGUCCCAAGUUAACAAUGUAGUCUCUGAAGUUUGUCUUGUGUAAUGACUAGUUCCUUCCAUUAGUCUAUCAUAUAAAGAACAGCACCACAUCCAACAUUGUAAGACCUGGCAGAGUAACUGAACAACUUGUUAUGCGAAGCAAAUUUUAGGGACUAAAUUGUUGAAAUUAGAACCCUUGAGGAUGUAGUUGAAAUCAAACUUCAGAAUAAAAUGUGUAUUUAACCCAUAAUUUCAAAGCCAUAUUUCUCAUCAGUUGAUCGUGGAAUGUGACCUUGCGAGCAGGAAGAGUUGAGAAAAGAGCUUGAUAUGGACCCUGAAUUGCCUGCUGUGCUAUUGAUGGGAGGUGGCGAGGGAAUGGGUCCAGUCAAGACUACUGCAAGGGCCCUUGGAGAAUCACUCUUUGACGAAGAGCUUGGAAGGCCAAUUGGGCAAUUGAUUGUUAUCUGCGGCCGUAAUAAAUCUUUAAGCUCCACACUAGGUGCUCUCGAGUGGAAGAUCCCUGUGAAGGUACUUGCAUGCUAGCAUGUCAUGCUAUACUUUAUAAAUUUCCAGUGAUUGUUGGUACUCGCAUUGUCAUGUCAUUCUAUGCCUGCGGUAACUUAAUUCGGCCUUUAUUUCUUGCCAAGUGGGAUUGAUUAUAUGAAUCCAUUAGAGAAACCGAAUUCGAAUCCCUUUUAUAAUCCUCCUCCACUAAAUGUUUAGAUGAAUUAUCUUUUCUCCUCAGCUAUCUCUGUUUUCACCACCUCUAUGCAUAUGACUUUGUUGCCUCUUAUAUCUUCUUGCAUAUCUUACUUGGAAACUUAACUCUUCUGGACGCAUGCAGGUUAACUGAAAUAGAGGCAUGACUUUAAAAUUUCUCAUUUAAGAAAGUAAUUCCUUUUUCACUACAGAUUAGGGGAUUUGAGACUCAGAUGGAAAAGUGGAUGGGGGCUUGCGAUUGCAUUAUUACGAAGGUAUGUUAAUCUCUAUAUUUCAGUUGAAUUGGUGAUACACUACUUUAUGUUCGACGCAUUAUCUUGGUAGAAAAUUCACUAUAAUUCUGAUGCUGUGUUUAUUUCAUCAAUUAUGUCUCUAGGCAGGGCCAGGUACUAUUGCCGAAGCGCUGAUAAGGGGGCUUCCCAUUAUCCUCAAUGACUUUAUUCCUGGACAGGUUUGUAAUUAGAAGCCAUUUUCUUAAGCAAUCCGAACUUGCAUUAGAAGCACGGUAACUUAUCUCUAACAUUCGUGUCGAACAGCUUCAUUUUUAAGUUCACAGAUGCAUUGCUUAGUAGCCACUGUAAGCUAACACAAACAUUUGAAGCAACCAUUUCUUCUAUAAACUAGAGACAAGAAAAUGAAGAAUGUUAGAUCUUUCGAUCUCUAUAUAAAAUCAUAAUCACAACACGAAACUUCUCCUAAAACUAGUCCAUUCCUUUGAUAUCAUGCUAACUUUUUUGUACCAGAAGCAAUCUCUACUUUGGUCCUAACAGAAUAUUUUCAUAAAUCAUAUCACAGGAAGUUGGAAACGUCCCUUAUGUCGUUGACAACGGGGCGGGGGUGUUCUCAAAAAGUCCGAAGGAGACAGCCAAAUUAGUCGCGCAAUGGUUCGGCCCCGAAUCAGGAGAGCUCAAAAGGAUAUCGGAGAAUGCACUUAAACUGGCUCAGCCGGAUGCAGUGUUCCACAUCGUUCAGGAUAUCCAUGAGCUCGCCGAGAAACAAGGUCCCUUAUCGCGCAUAUCUUAUCCCCUCACUUCAACCUUCUACCAAUCACCAUAACAGCUCACUGUUUCGCUGUUCGAUUGAUCGAUCGAAACCGCCCAAAUCUAACCUCUGCUCUGAGGGUUUUGAAUUGUGCAUAUAUGUACAGCUAGGAUUGGCAUUCUUUGGUACUGAUCAUGGCUCAUUUUGUGCGGUGAAGUCUCUACAUAAUUCUCGCAGAUGUCGUUCUCGACGUAUUAUUAGGUUGUUAGACGUAAAUUCGUGUAUAAUUAUUAUACGGCGUGGAUGAUAGACUUUUGUUGUACAGAUUACUGCAAUUCCUUGUAUAAAAUGCAUGGCAUGUACCUAAGCGUGCGGGAGAAUGUUUUCUUGUUUGUGUUAUUUGUUACUAAUUUUGAUACCAAAGUUUGCAAUAUUAGUAAUAGCUGUGCUGAUAAGCUCUUGUGGAAGUUAAUUGUGUGUCAUGCGACUUUGUAUUAGGGCUGUUUUCAAAUUUGUCUUUUAUAAUAUUAUAGAUAAGCAUGCUCUACGGUAUUUGGACUUCUCAUGAAACCAAAUUUUAUCAAUUUUCGAUAUUAUUUACCCACUGAUCUGGCGGUGUCACAUACACAUUGCAUUUGCAGUAAAAAAAAUAUAAAUUUUGAGAUCACUUAAUGUAAGUGACCUGACUAGUUAGCAAACAAACCAUCUUAAAAUGCUUAAAUUUAGUUAUUAUUACUAAGAUGUGUAGUCUUAUAUUCUCCUUUUUUCAUCCGAUGUGGGACUAUUUGAAUGUUACAGACUCUCUCAGUUAUGUUUAAAUUCAGUUAUUAUUAUUAAGAUGCGUAAUCUUGUAUUCCUCUUUUCUCAUCCAAUGUGAGACUAUUUGGAUAUUACGAACUCUCUCAAUUUAGACCUUAACGUUCUCAACAAGUCCAAACCUAGACCACAAACAUAUAGAUCAAAAUUACCAGGUGACAUGAGAUUCUAAAGAUGACUCCUGCAGGUUUAAGAGGUGGCUCUCACCAAAUUGUCUCUGAUACCAAUUGUAACAAUCCGAUUCACUAGAAAUAAUAACUCUUUAGGCUCAAACCACCGGCCGAAAUAUUUAAGCCUAAUUAUUAUUACUACGGUGCAUAGCCUCAUAUUCCUAAUAAGAAAUUCCUUUCCCAUCCAAUGUGAGACUAUUGGGAUGUUACAUUUAAAUAAUAGGUAAAUAAUAUUGACAAAUCACAAAAUUUCGUUUCUAAGAAGUUCAAAUACCGUAGAUCAUGUUUACCAGCAUCGAUAGUUGGUUCGGAUGAUCCAUCAUCAGAAAUGACAUGAAAGUACCAAGAGUUUGACUCUUCUAAAAUUAUUCCAGCUCAAUCACUAAUAUGUUCUCGGAAUAAGAUUAAUGACAUCACUGAUGGAAUGCACAGUCAUAAUAAAUCAUGGCUUACCAAGAUCUUACAAGAAACUAAACUCAAAUUCUCAGCUCACAAUCACAAAAGAAAAUCCUUACAGCGCACAAAGUUAUCACCAGAUAACUUAUCCUCACCCAUAAAAUAACCUUUACAAAAAUCCGUAAAUAAGGAUUGGACAAUUUGCCUAAUAAGAAAGACAUUAUUUGACACAAAAUACUUUAUUAAUUAUAUAGUCUCGCAAGACAUAAUUUGGCACGGAAUACUCGAUUCAUUAUUCACAUUGAGUUUGCAGAAGAUCCCAUAAUUCCAUCAAAAGGAUCACUAGCUUCAUGCAUAGAUUAGAAUAUAGUGUAAAAUAGAUGACGAAAGCGAGUAACUAAGGGAAACCUCCAUGCUCUUGAGCUCCGACUGCCCCGUAUCAGCAAAAGGUUAUUUGGCAUGUAGGAAAAUUCCAUAGCUGACUUGGAAUCUCUCGAAAACUUUUCACAGAGUAAACUGAUGCCUCGCGCAAUUAGUGAGAGAAGCAAAAGCACUUUUUGAGAAGAGAAAACACCUCUUCCACAAAGAUUUUCUUACGCUGUUUCAGAAGUUUUACUACGAAGAAACCCGUAAAAAGCAGUUGCAAAGACUAUUUAUCCGACGGUUGUACAGAUGGAUUGCUGCGUAUACAACCCGUUCACAGCAUUCAUGAAAUUCUGUUUGCUUCUUCUCCUCUUGGAGACCACUGUGAAACCUUCGGUAUCCUUUUCGCCUUUUCGAAUUUCUGCUUUCCUCAAUUGCUCAAGACCAGAAUCAUUGUUUACCAUAUUGCUACUCUGCUCUCCACUUUGCAUGCUUUCGGCAGCAUUUGGUUCCUUAAUUUCCUGAGUCUCAACCGAAUCGCUCAAACUGUUCCGACUUGACUUAACAAUGAAGCUAAGCAGAAUUUGUCUCGCAAGCUCGGUCUUUUGCUCAUUCUGUGUGUUAUCUUUGCCUCUAGUUUCUUUACUCUUUCCUCCCUCACUAACUUUUUCAGCUUUUUUUAUCUCUUCUUUAAAAACUUCAUCUGAAGUCCCCUCCUCUAUAUAGUUUUCGGGAUUUUGAGCAUCUAAAUCUUUUUUAAUUUGCUGCAACGCUUUCCCAGGGACGAACUCAGCUGCAUGAGGAUUCAUUACGCUAGAAGAGAGGCUACUUCUUGCAACCGCGCUUUGGCUGUUUGAGAAGCCCGGCUUCCUACGGAAAGAACUUCCAGCUCUAUAAUGCAAAUUCGAUCUUGGACCGCGAGUGACUCUAGUAUUAAUAGAGUGAGGCGAGGGGAUCUCCAUAGUUGCAUUUGGAAAUGCCUGGUGAACAACUUUCAUAUCAUAAAUCGCGACUGUAUUGUACGGGUGGGACAUUGAUAAAAGCGAGCCCGGAUUAAACGGAGGAGCCGAAGCUGAGAGUUUGCUUCCGCUUGUUGUAUCUUUCUUGGGUUCUAAUGAAUUUUUGUUAUCAUCGCUCUUCGGAGAUUUUUCCUCUGAAGUUGCUUCUUCAACAGGACUCGAGUUCAUCUCUUUCUCAGCAUCGUCAAUUGGUAAUUCCAUUUCAAAUUUCGUCUUUUCAACUUUAUUCUCAUCCUCUGAUAUGUUGAACUGAUUUAUAACUUCUUGGGUCUCGUUGUUUGCCUCCUCGUUUUCCGCCGCCUCAUUUUUUGUCUCAUCGUUUUUUGCUUCCUCGUCUUUUGUCUCAUCGUUUUUUGCCUCCGCAUCUUUUGUCUCAUCGUUUUUUGCCUCUCGUUCUUCUUCUUUUUCUAAAACUGGCUUCAAGACAGUGCCAGGAGGCGAUACCGCUACUUCCUUGUAUGAAACCAACUUUGAAGCAAUAGUGGCCACCCUGCUCGAGCUAGAAGCUUUUGUGCUUUGAUCAGAUUUAAUCAAAGAUUCAGAAGUCUUAGCCUGUAAAAGAGCUUUUCCAGGUGAAGAAGAAGACUCACUUGACGUGCUUUUUGGCUCAACAAUAUUGCCUCUAUGUGCUUGUGGCAUAUUUUUUCUUCUGUAACUCGAAUAACCUGUAUUUUCUGAGCUAUCUACGAGUAAUUUGGCAAGAUUUGGCCUUUUUCGUCGCGUUUGAACGGAUCGUCCUUUUGAUGCGGCCUCUUGCCAUCCUUCAUCUGAAGAUUCCUCGGGGGAAGGUAAAUCACUUUGUUGUAAUUCAUUGGGAAUGAAUUUAUCGACUUUUUUGACUUCUUUGACCUUUUCUAGGCGUUCUUGAGGCCUUCUUGAUUUUGUAGGCUCUUCUUUCACUGUUUGAAUGUUCGCAUUUUCCAUACCAUGCUGGGAAUUGACUUCACUUUUAAUGAACUCCUCUUGGUUAGAUCUGCUAGUGUUCUGCAUUAAAUACUAUGCAAUGUAAAGAAGGCAAAAAUCUUAUUAGUCUACAAUUACAUAAAAAAACUAAAAUACUCCUGGCAUUGUGAAAAGGCCAUUAAAAGCGGCCGUCAAAUGGCAUACAUUACCAGAUCCAAUUAUGACAGCUUUUAAAUUAUCAUUGCAUAAUGUGUAGUUAUUUGUAGCAUAAUAAGUGAAGUUCCUAUGAAUUCAGCAACAUUUCAGAAACAAAUUAUGCAGAGAGCAGUUUUGUUUUUGUAUCUCAUUUUAAUAAGGUACUUCACGAUAACAUUAUAUGGUUUUGAUAUACCAACCUUUGCACGCCGGUGCUUUCUUUGCGCAUCUCUCUCUUUUGUAUCUUGGUCUGGGUUUAUGAAGUCAAGAAGAUCUGAUACACUGAAAAGCUAGCAUGUUUCAAUUCGGAGGAACAUCUCUCUACUGUUUAACAUGAUAAUAACAAGCAGGAGUUUCAUACCUCAGGUGACCUUUACUGGCAAUAGAUGCAUCAGGCUUCGGGAUGCCUCUUCGAGCAGCCUCUUGCUGCUCUAAAGCUUUCGAUUCAAAAUACUCCAGCCACGCAGCAGCAUCCUAGAUAGAAUCAAUAAUUGCACCAAAUUAUCAGUUUUGCAGUUUCUAUUUAUGCACGAAAAUUUGCGUACAGAAAAUUAUCCGAACGAACCUGAGUACGAAGAUCCUCUGAUCCAAGUUUUGCCUGAAGUAUCUGCAAAGUCGUUUGUUCAUGUUGCACACUUAAUGUGUAUGCAUCCAUCAUGGAAAGAGCUAUGGCAAUGGCAUGGUAGCUCGCAGCAGUCUAUUAUUUAUAACAAAUAUUAGUAAAGAAAUAAGAGUAGCGUUAUCGCGGGAUUGAGUGAUAAAAAGAUGGUGUAAAACAUGUAAAAGAAGCUCAUCACUGUCGUCAGAGAGGGAAAGAGAGAGGAAACCUGUAUGUGAUCGGCACCAAGCAAUCUUAUGUUGCAUUUUAGGGCUUCAUGUAGGUAUCUGAGAGCAACAUGAACAUUACCCAUGCCUUCUUCCAUCAUUGCUACAUUUAUGUAGGUUGCGGCAGAAUUCGGAUGUGAGAGGCCGCACGAGAAUUGAAGAAGAUAGAGUGCACGAUUCACAUAUCUGAGAAAUGUAAACAUCAUUAGCACAAUAACAGAAAUUCAUACCAAACUAUUAUGUGCAAAUAAAUGUCCAACUCCGUAGAGAUUAGGUUAAGAUAAAAAUUUGAAAACCAAGAUAGAAAUCUGAGUUCGAAUAGCAAAAGCACAAACUCUCAUCAAAUAUUUCCCUUCUCUGCAGUAGAAAUAAAGCUCUAUAGAGAUCGACCGCCUCCAGAGUAAAAUAGAACUGGAGUACCUUUUACUAAUACAAGUAGAGACUAAAAAUGAAAAUCACUUAAUGUCGAAAAGGACAAUUCACUGUCUACUCUGUAAUUCAUGCAAUUCUCAAAAAUGUCGUAAAGAAUUUGCAAUGCAUCUAAUGACUUCGUUUGUCCCGCAAAAUCAACAUAGAGAGACCUUGGAAAUAUAUAUUAAAAAAAAAAAGGCUGCUAGUUUUUGAAGUCAAAUAUAAUUCAGGUUCAUGAACCUAAUUUUAUUGUAUGAACAAUUAAUAUGAUGCCGCCUUCACAAUCAACUGACCUAUUUCUUUUUCAACUCCAGUGGCUUGUCGGAACUCACUCAUAUCAUUCAUUAUUUUGAGUAUUAUAAAAAGUUACAAGUAGCUAGCUACCAAUGGAUGAAACAAACAAUAGAAGCAAGACAUAUAGGGCCGAUAAGCUUUAUACACCACAUGUAAUCAAAACAAGGGGGAUUUAUUUUUGUCUUUAUCUCAAGGGGAAAUAGCUGCCAGCAUUCUUCAGAAGAUACCUUAUCUAUUCCUUUUGAUGAUGUAGACCAAAACUUAAGAAAGAGAAUAGCUAACAAAGAAACAUGGUCAUGACAUCUUGCAGUUAGAUUCCUCAGAGCAAGGAUAAAAACCAAGCUUACUUCAAAGCCAAUUCAAUGUGUUGGAGUCGGUAGUAAAAGACAGAAAGAUCCCCAUAGCUUUUCAUGGUCUCAGGAUGGUCAAGACCAAGCUCUCUUUCAUUGAUAUCAAGAGCCUUCUGCUGAUAUAUAGUAGCCUGUAAACCAGAAGGAAAAAAAAGCUACGCAUGAGCAUCAGAGGAUAUGAAAAAUAUAUAUGUUUGAACUAUGUUAAUAAUUAUAAGAGCUUGGAAUCUAAUCCAGAUCAUGCUUAUUGUUUGUCAUCAAAAAGUAAGAGGCCGUCAUGUUACUCAGAAAAGCUGAUGUCUAUUACCUGAUUAAAAUCUCCAGUGUGAUAAAGAACUACUGCAAGAAGACUGUAAGCAUUAGCCGUCAUUCGAUGAUAUGGGCCACAAACCGCUAUCAAUUUAGAUAAUGCCUACAAAACAAAAAUAUGAAGAAAGGUAUUAGUGAAUUAUAAUAGUGAUUUAUUAAAUGAUUAGUCAAUAUAUAGAUAAGAGCAGAAAAAUAAGCAAAUACCUUUGUGCCAUAACUGACAGCAUCAUCUAGCUUUCCUUUAUCCAAUGCAGUCUUUGAAGAUUCCAAUAAGUUCCGACCAUCUGCAGAGGUACAGGCCAUGUACUGCAUAUCGGAUUCAAAAACCAUCAGUUGAUCAAGUAGAAUGCUUAGUCUAAAAACAAAUUACGACAACCAAUUAGUGUCUUAUCAUACUUUGUAAACAGGAACCAUGCUGAUAAUAUCAGACUUCUCAAAGGGGUUUGGGCUAUUCAUGUCGUAGUCUCUAGCAACCAAUUCCAAUCCAACCUGUAUAGAGAGCAUGUGAGUGAGACUACUAUACAAGAGGUUGAAUGGAUAUUUGCAUCUUCUAGAAUUUUCGUACCUUAUUACAAAGUCCUCGAAGAAGUACAAAUUUCCUCAAGUGCUGAAAUUCAUCCCUUAGUCUCCAAGAAAACCUCUUCGCGAUGAAGGUUUCUACCCACUUCUUGGUAAGAGUUUGUUCAACAAGCAAAUCUUGGUCAUCAGUUACUACUGUUGAGGACCCCAACAAGAUAUUCAAGGUCUCAGCAAUUGCGGAGGACAAAUCUGACAAAUUGUCAACUGCUGCAACCACCGCUCGCAGAAUGUACUUGAAGGCUCGAAUAACCAUCUCAUGAAAGCAUAUCGCCUGUAUGUGUGGUAGCUUCUCUGCAAGUUCCACCUGUUGUAUUUAAAAACAAGGCCAAACUUAGUAGAAAAUUCACAAGAGCAAGGCUACUUAACAGAAACCAACCCUGAUACUUGUACUCACCACACGUCCUAACGAGCACAUAUUAAGCCCCCUUGUAUGCAUAAAGUCUGUUAAGGUUCUUCCAUCAACUGGAGAAAGCUCAAGUGAUGCAAAAUCCGCCACCUAUUGAAGCAAUAACUUUAUGAUGAAGCCAAAAAAAGCACAUGAGAUUUAAAGGCAGGUAUCAGUUUAAACCCUACCAGCUUUGGAAGUGCGACCUCAUCAUAGAACUUAUGUGCCAUCAUGGUGAGCUCAUCUAGAGACUGCUUCAAGAAGAAAUUUAAGUCAGUAGAUAGAGAGAUAUAGACCAAUUCUGAUAUAUUGAAGUUGCUGAUGCAGUGACUGUGUAUGGUUACUGUGGACAAAAGACAUUACAAGCUUUAGAAGGAAACAUAAACUGAUGUGACUUUUCUGGUUAAUGGGAAUUGGUAUUCUUUCCUUCCUAUGAAGGAAUAUUACAUUUCAUUGAUUGCUAAUACAAAGUAGAUCAAUAUCUUAUCCAAUGGAAAGAAGAAGUUUUAUUAAUUUAUCUGUUCUUUCUCAAAGACCAUCUGCAUUAACAAGUUGAUCAGAACAAAUAAACAAAUUAUCUAAUAGACAAUUUUGACUGCGAUAAGAAAACAAAUCAUGGAAAAACAUUGAGUUGUGCUGAUCAUUAUUUUUUUCACAGCAGGAUACCCUUUUCCAAGAGCAUGUUAAACUUUUACGCCUAACCAAAUGAUUGCAGGCAAAUUCAUGAUUCUUCAGCAUUAUUUGAUAUUAUUAGAUCCUACAAGGAUAUCCUAGAUAUAUAGUUUACAUAAAUAGUUUUCACAAUAACGAAGAAGCUGUAUUGUAUUUUCUAACAAAUCAUAUAUAGUUUGUUCCUAUACAGCCAAUUAAUGCAUUUGACUAUUCAAGAAUCUAGUUGCGUAUGAUUGUCCGUUGCUCGUAAACUUCUAAGUUAGUGUCUUCUUUUCACGAGGCACUGCAGAACAAGCACAUGCUAAUAGUCAGAAGCAAGUACCUUCUGAUGAAGACCAGUCCCUGAAUCUUUCAAACGGCAAAAGGCUUCUUCAGGCAGCAAUUUCCUAAUCUCACUUUCCUCAGUCGAUACAGACUGUUUGAGCUCCUCAUUCACUGCAUCUGUUUCACGUACGCUGCUUUUCGCAGAAUCAUCCUUCUCGGGGUUACCAUCCACAAUAUCUGUUUUCUUUUUGAUUUUCCUUAGCUGUUCAAAAUGCUUUCCGAGACCCUUAACUGGUGAUUCAGUCUGAGUAUCCUCCUUCUUUCCCUUCGACACCUCAGCAGGUGAACUGUCCUUUUUCUGCAAGUGUUGAAACCAGCAAGCACCAAGCUCCCAUCGAAUCGACCUGUUGGUAUUGCUCGAUUCUUUCUCUAAUUUAGUCAAGCUGUUACAAAGUACUUUUCGUGCUAAAAUCCGUGUUGAACUUCCAGAAUGAGAAUUAGGAGAAUGCUGAUUUUCCACCGAUGGAUCCACAGAAAAUUUGGCAAGUGGUAUUCUUAAGCUGCAGAAAGAUUUCUAAAUACUUAGCUUAUAUUUAUCCUUAAGGUUCGCUUUAGCAAUUAAAAACUAUAAUAAUAAUAAUCAAAAAAAAGAUUAAGGAAAUAUCUGCGUAAAAGGUACCAUUGUGCAUUUUAGUGUGUUUAUGUAGCAAACCUGUUGAUAUUCAAGGCAUUAGAACCUCCAUCUGGUUGAUCAUCUACAACAAUGUCCAGAUUUGCAUCGUUUGUUUCUCUUACAUGUCCUGAAACCCUAACAGUUGCAGUAUAUCCGCAAUGUUUAAGAACAACAACUCCUAAGGUGGCAGUAUCCUGCAAAUCAUAUAUUCUAUCAGUACUACCCAUGAGAGAACAACUUUCAUUACAAAGAAAUAAAGUAAGGCAUUCUUACUUUAACAACAACAUUCUCAUCAGCCGUUAAACCUUUAAGAAGAUUUCUUACAGAGACAUCCUUAGGGCUCAUGUUAAGCAACACACUCCCAUCAACUUUCUCCUCCUGCUUCGAGCUACCAUCUAACUGAUCCCUUUUCACAACCAUGUACAAAUCUCCAACUCGUUCUUCAUGCAGAAUUGAGCCAUUAAGACCAUGCCCAGAAGCAGUUGAAUUUGGUUUGGAGUCAAUGAGACCACGUAUUGCUUUGACAGCUUUAAAAAUUGCUGUAUCUACAAAAAGAUUUUGUAAUAAAAAGGCCUUCCUAUCUCUGAUCAGCCUCUCCUCUUCCGUUUUGCAUAGCAUUCUCGCCAAGAUUGAAAAUUCUGUCGCCCAACGUCGUUUAUCGUAUUUACCAUCUCGCCCAUGACCACCACCAUUCCCACCCCAGUUCUCAUCUUCAACAGGGAGAGAGGGACAUUUCGAAGAAGAAUCGACAAAUAUAGGGGGCACAAGCCAGGUAUUGGCACGGAAUCCGUACGGGAGAUUACCAAACUAAAAUAUGCCGAUAAUUAUAUCAGUAAAUAGUAAUAUAAAUUCCAGUAUCCUAUUUUACUCUACUGCCAAAUAAUGCAUAUGAGACGAGUUUAGGUUUAGGACCUUGUUAUGGUCUACAAAAGCUUUCAUUAGGGACUCGUAGGCCUGCUCAUAACAAGAACAAUCAUUCAGUUAGAAAAUAUAAAAAGAUAGGAUUGAGGCUUGUAGCAAGGAGAAACUUUCAACAAAAGGAGUGGCAAAAGCAACAAUAAGACUAGUAGUUAAAAAAAAAAAAAAAACAGUCAAUUUAAAUUGCACAAGACUAUAACAAAAGCAAGAGAAGCUUUGGCAUAUAAACAGGUAAACUACUGGUUACUUACAUUUGCAAAUGCGCUGCUAAGCUGCUGCAAAAGAUCCACGAGGGAGCGGCUUAGGAUAUAUUGCUUCCCAGUUGUAUAAAAUCCUUUGACAGAGGCAACUAUAUUUAGAAGCUUCCCAUUACAAACUUUAACCUGCAUAAAUAGCAAUUCAUAGUAAAACAUACAAUGAAAACAUAAAAUAUAACAAGGUGGAAAGAAGAAGAAAAUACUGUAUCAAAUAUGGCACGGCCAAUAAUGUUCAGUGUGAAAUUCAAAUUAAGAUACAUAAAAUAUAUGAUAGAGCUCUUUCCAUGAACACAUGAUAUUUCAAGCUGGCUCAUUUAGGUUCACACAGAACUCAGGCUAUGCACUUUUGAUCUUUAGAUUGAGUAACGAAUGUGGAAAAUGAGAUUAAGCUGUGAUCUUAUUUCUACUGCUACAUUUCUACUGCUACAUAUCCAUCAAACUUCCAAAGCACAAACUUUCCUUCUCACAUUAAUUUUACUGUUUUGCUAUGUAAUGUAAACAAAUUUAAGGUUUUGUGAGAGACAUUGUCAUGACUACUACUCUGAGCACAAGAGCUAGAAAUGGGAAUCCAUAUGCACUAUGAUAAUGCGAUGAACAAACCAAGAAACAUAGUUUACAAGUACAAAUCAUAACCAUAAGCUUACUUAUUUACUCUCUCUCUUUUUUUCCCAUCUUUCUCUCGUUCAAGCAUUUCAACAAACACUUUCUGCGCAAUACAAUGAACAACAUCCUACAAGAAUAUUGUUCACAAUCAAAUCACCUCAAUUUCAAAAUCCUAACCAUAAGGACACACCAUGAGCACAUCCUACAAAAUCAUACCAUACAAAUCAUAACCAUAAGCUUCAUUAUUUAAUUCUUCUCCUAUUUUUCUCUCAUUCAAGCAUUUCAACAAACAAUUUUUGCACAACACCAUGAACAACAUCCUACAAGAAUAUAAUUCACAAUCAAAUCACCUCGAGUUCGAAAUAGUCGCCCUCCCGCCUCUCCGCGCAGAUCCCACCUUCGCGCCGCCGCAAAACUGCGAGAGCAAAGAUUACAUUUUUACCAACAUAGGCACCAGUAACAACCCACGAAGCUCACAACGGGCGCAAGAUACCGUACACUGGAUCGGAGAGACCACGUGGGCGAAGGAGAAGAACUCGUAGAAGUCCCCGAGCUUCGGCGCGGGGUGUAUCGCGGCCAUGUCGAACCUGUCGGAGAUGGCGGGUGCCGGAGACUCCGCAUCCGAGGGAGAGGGAGAGGGAGGAGGCCCGGAUGGGGAUUUGCCAUUGUUGGUCGAAUUCGAGGUGGAAAUGGCGGAGGCGGAGGCGGAGGAGGAGGAGGAGGAGGAGGGAGAAGAGGGGGAGUGGUGGGGUUUCUUCGGUUUGCCGACUCCUUCUUUGGCUUUGCCGAAUACGGUGGCGCACGCGACGAUGUCGAGGAGCCUCCGCACGUGCGCCGCCGCGUGUGCCUCGCACGCGUAGUCCUCUGCACGUGCGAAAUGGGCAAAAAAAAAUUCUCUAAUUAGUAACAAAGGCCCACUUAGGCCCAUUAAGAACCCAUUAAGGGGCCAUUUAGGGCCCAUUAAGAACUCAUUGAGGGCCAUUAAGGGAUUAUUAGCAAAUAUGAUAUAAUUUUUAAUUUUAACUAAUAAUAAAAAUUCAAAUAAAAAACAAUAUAUCACUUUCAAAUUAGCUGUAUUUUAAAUAUAGUCAACUAAAUUUAAAAAAUUCAAGCCAGAAAUUAUAACAAAUUAAAGUUUGAGGACCGAAAGUGUAAUUAAAGUUUUUGGAUGCACCUUAAAUUUUUUUUAUUAGGAAAUUGGUCGAAAUCAUCGAUUGUUUCGGUGACGCCUAAGACGAAAUUUGUCAAUUUUGAUUAUGACUUAUUGGCCAAUUAAAACGAAGAAUUUCUCCAAUAAUUUGCGCAAAGUUCUAAGUUUCUCUAUAUGAACAAAAGUAUUAACUCUAAUACCCUUUUCUUUUGGGUAAAUUUCAAUUUGUCCCCUGUAUUUUAGCGCACCUACAGUUUCACAGCUUUAUGGUUCAGAAAAUUAUACUGAAUUAUCUUGUAGUUUUAUUUUGAUAUAUAUAGAAUGAUAAAGUAUAUAUAUAUAUAUAUAUAUAUAUAUAUAUAUAUAUAAAGAUAGUGAAAUACUAUAAAUAAAAAUAAUACUAUAAAAUACAAAAAAAAUAAAUCUAUAAAAUAUUAUAGUUUACAAAAAAAAUAUUAUUUGAAUAUCCUGUGAUUUACAAAAAAAAAAUAUUAUUUGAAUAUCCUAUUUAACAAAUAUCUUUACAAAAAAAAUAAAUAAAAAAUAAAACUAUAAUUAAAUGUAGGUUACAAAAAAAAUAUUAGUUGUGUCAUCCUGUGAUUUACAAAAUAAAACUAUACUUAAAUGUAGUUUACAAAAAAAAUAUUAGUUGCGUCAUCCUGCGAUUUACAAAAAAAUAUAUAUAUAUUAUUUGAAUAUCCUAUUUAACAAAUAUCUUUAUAAUGCGAUAAAAAAAUAAAAUUAUAAAAUAAUUAAAUGUAACUUUUUGAAACAUAAAGUGACAAAGUAAAAAACAUGUUAACUCCAAAAGAGGCAAAUUGAACUAUUGAUUCGCCUUAGUUUGGCUGGGGAUUAAGGGGUGGAAUAACCCUUUAACCCCCAUUUUAUCUCCAAACACUUCUAAAAAUGGGUGGGGUUAGCUAACCGCACCUCAAAUGGGUUAUUUCGGAUUAGCUAACCCCACCUAACCCCACCAAACCCCAACCAAACACUAUUUUCUAUUCAUAAUAACCCACUAUCCUUCUUAUCCCACCUACUCCAACCAAACACUAUUUUUCACUAUCCUGGACUAACUCCAACCCCCAGCCAAACACAAAAAUACUCUAACCCUACCUUAACCCUAAACUUAACCCUAUCCCUGGAAUAACUAGUUUUUUCUUAACCACGAACCAAACGGUAACCUUGACCUUAAAAAAGAAAAAAAAUAAUAAUUUUUUUUAACAAAAAAGGAAAGAGAGGGGUGAGUUUCCACUUUCAUAUUUUUCACAUGAGACAAGGUACAAUUUGGUCCCAGGAACAUGGAGAUAUUUUUUCUGUGCUUCAAUGUAAAGGACUAGGGACAGAGAAGGAUAUUGUAAGCUUUUGUUUAUCUUAUUUACAAUUAUAUAUAUAUAUAUAUAUAUAUAUAUAUAUNAAUCAUAUUUUCAACACGUAGCAGUUUAAGUUUUGUUUUUUAACUUAGUCACAGAGCGUAGAACUUGGUUGACAUGAUCGUCUCACUAGCUGCGCUUUCGACACAUGAAUAAUAACCUCAAUAACAGGAGUACACCUCCCUCGUAGUAGAUCAUUGCUAGUACAGUUGGUUAAGAAUUCUAAUUUAACUGUCACUUUUUAAGCAGAAAGAUAUAUGUCCUAAAAAAUUCGUCUAAAUUGAAGUUGAAAUAUAAAACUCUUUAAUAAUAAAUACAUAUAUGAGAGACUAGAAUGAAACUCUUUUGAGAAUUUAGUAGAUCAAAUAUCGAAAUUAAAAAUGUGAGAAUUAAAUUGAAAUCGAGCUAAAAGAUCUAGCGCUGCUGGUGCAAUUUUUUCGUAAAUUUUUGUUUGGCUCCUACAAAAAGUAGGUUCAAACUCUGCUACCGCAUCUAACUUAGUUGGUUAAGAACGUAAUGGCUGGUUGGUAUCUGAAGUCCCAAACUCGAAAUCUAAUUACUUUAUAUUUCAAGCUAAGUUUAUUAUUAACUUAGUUACACUAUAGUACACUGUACUUUACAGAUUUUUUUUACUUUUUAUACUGUACUUUUUUUUUUUCAAAAACACCACUAAAUUAACUAUCAUUUUUUUUCCGAUCCCUACAAUAUAAACAAUAAACUUAUAAUUUGUAUAAAAGUUAUAUUAAAAAAUACUGGUUAAAAGUGGCAGAGCAUAUAUAUAUAUAUAUAUAUAUAUAUAUAUAUAUCAGCUAUUUUUCAUAUAAAAUAAAAAAUACAUAGGAAUAUUAAAAGUAUUGAAAAUAACUUGAAAGAAUUAUAUUCAGCUCAUAGAGAUUUAUUCAUAUUUUUGUACUAUAACUAACAUCUUUUAAUAAAAAUAUUAUAUUUUAUCUCAAAUAAUAGAUUUGUUAACAGUAAUACAGAAACCGGUAAGAAAAAAAAUUUAGUAAAUAUCUAUGAGAAAAAUAAAUAGGAUGAGAUAGAAAAGUUAAAAAUAAAUCUAAAAUACAGUGUAAAUAUUAAUAAAAUAUAAUAUAAUAAUACAAUGAUAUCUUUAAAAAAAUAUUCAAAAUAGCAAAUAAAAAAAAACUAAAAUACAGUGUAUUGGACUAUAAUUAAGCCUUUAUAUUUUUUUUUUUUUAAAAAUUGCUACUUUUCUUUCCAAAAAAAAAAAAAAAGAAAACUCAUUUCCUGAUUAUGUAUAUCAAUCAGUGCACAUAAAUAGCUAUAAAAUCUCAUUCCUGUGUACCAAAAUCAAGGAAAAUUUCAAAUACCAUCCUUGUGGUUUCACACUUUCUCAUUUUAGUACUUUAUGGUUUAAAAUGUAUCAAUUUAGUGUUUUGUGGUUUUAUUUUUAUCUUUUUAUUAUCGAUUCCACUAAUUUAUUUUGUUAAAUCAGUGACAAAGUUAAAACUAAAGGGUACUAAAGUGAAUAUUCGAUAAACCUAAGUAGGGUAUCUAAAAUUUUUUGUAUAUAAUUUAACGAACUAUUAACGGAAAAGUUGACGAAAAGAUAAAAAUGAAACCACAGGACACUAAUUUAAUACACUUUAAACUACAGAGUACUAAAAUGAGAAAGUGCAAAACCACGGGGAUGGUAUUUGAAGUUUAUCCCAAAAUCAGCGGAAUGUAAACAGUACAGGUACAAAUUAGUUGCACAUUUGUGUUGUUUUAAACGCCCACGAUUUGGACGGUUGUGAUUUGUUUGAUGACAUUGUGCUGUCCUCAAUGAGCGUACGGGAUUAAAAUAAAUGGACGGCUCGUAUUUAAAGGAGACGUGGGGAAGAAAAAGGACAAAAAAAAGAAGAAAAGGGGGAAAAAAUGGGAAUGGUGGGGAAGGCGCCGGAGCGAGGACGGAUGAGGAAAGUGCUGACUGUCAAGUGAAAGCAAAAGUAUUGAUAAGAGUUAGUGCUGUCUGGACUCUGGAGUUGCCUAAAAUACUGUUUUUUGUAAAUUAUUGCUACAUGCAUACUGACACUGAUGUCAAAAUAAUCUAUCUGAUAAAAAAUAAUUUAUAAAUAAUAUAAAGGUUUAGAUUAUAACAAAAUUAUAAAUAUUUAAUUUUUUAGUUUUUUUUUUCUUAAUUUACCAAAAAAAAAAUUUAUAUUUUACUCACUCAAUAUUUCAAGCUGUUGUAUUUAGCCCCUCCUUCAGUCAGGGUUCCAUCAUUAUUCCGUCUAUUUUUUAUAAUUUAUGCCGAAAAUAUCCUUCAAAAUGAAAAAAAUAUAUUAAAAAAAUAUUUUUCUUAUAGAAAAAAUAAGAGUAAUUUAGUCAUUUUGUUCUCUCCAUUAACGCGGUGCUCCCUGAAAAUAUAUUUGAAAUUAAAAAAAAGCAAAAUACAAGUUUUUGAAAAUCAGAAAGGAAAAGUGAAUAGGUGGGUAUUUAUAAGAGGAUUUUCUAUAAUUUAGCCUAAUUGAAUUAUAUUUUUGAUUCUUGGGUUAUCACAUGCGUGAUAUUUUAACUUUCAAUUUUAAUAUAUUAUAAUUUCUGAGUCGAAUUACUACUGUGCGCGAUAGUUUAAUUUUUAAAUUUUAAUUAAUUAUAAUUUUUGGCUCGAACUACGGACACCAGUGUCAAAGUAAUCAUCGAUUUGAUGGAAAAUAAUUUAGGAAAAGAAUAGGUUACGUACAUUUCUGGUUCUCCAAAUAUGAGUCACGUAACUGAUAUUUUAGUCUUUAAAACUUUAAUUCGUUAUAAUUUUUAACUUGAACUAUAAGUUACGUGACAUUUCAGCCUUCCAAUUUUCAAAAUUGUAGCAAUAUUUCACUUGAUGAUGCAACAAUAAAUAAAAUAUUUAUUUUUUUGAUAUUAGUAAUUCAUCAAUACUUAUUUAGAAAAAUUGGGCUGUGAAACUUGAUUAAAGUAAUUCAGAAUGUUCGAGAACUAAAAUAUUGUAUAUUUUAUAGUUCGAGACAAAAAUUAUAACUAAUUAAAAUUUGAGAAUUAAAGUGUUACAUUUCUCAUAAUUCGAGUAAAAAAUUAUAACGAAUUAAAAUUUGAAAACUAAAGUGUCACGCACCUUAUAGUUUGAGGGCAAAGGCAUAAUUUACCCUUAUCAAUAUUAUGAAUAUUAGUUUUAAUUAGCUCACAUAUUUGCAUGACAGAUGUGUAUAAAAUAUAAAUUUAGAAUGUUUUAAAAUAAAAGGAGAUGUAUAGAAAAUAAAUCUAGAAUAUUUUAAAAUAAAGAGGCUUAGGGAUAGGU
rnacentral:lncRNA from 1 species